rnacentral:lncRNA from 1 species
CAAACACAAGUCAUAACCAAAAAGUAAAUCAAAACUAAAGUAUUGAAACCAUGAGUUCCAGCUUCAUCUAGCUAACAGAAGCAGCUAGAUUUAGCUGGACAUACUAGCAAACAAACAUAAACAAAUCAUAUUCAAAGACAUAUUUAAAUGUACCAAACUAUUAAGCUAAUAAUGAACUUCUCCUUCUUCCUUGGUGUUGAAAGCCAAUUCCAAACGUUUUCUCCCUCUGGAUUUUGUCUCCAGGAACCCUCCAAGUUGUCCAAAAGUCCCUCAAAGUCGUAAUGAUCAAGAGAAUAUAUAGUUAUCAUAAAAUUCACUCUCACGUCGUGAAUGAGUAUGACUCACGACGUGAAUGCAGUAGAUAUCUGUGUUCUACAAGGAUUCCUCCUCCGCGAUGCUUAUCUUCUGGAAUAGUUCCAUUCACGUCGUGAAUAGUUAUGACUCACGACGUGAAGUUAGCAGAUUACAGGGAUUUCCUCUUCUUUCAUUCUCCAAGCCUCCAAAGUUCCAUGCUUUGUCAAUUUCAGUCAUUUUCUCCCAAAAUACUUCAAUUUGGCUGCAAAGUACAAUUAAAGCUUAUAAGCAUCAUUAUUUAAUGCAAAUAACCAAAAUAUUAAUAAAAAUGUAAGUAAAUAUUGCCCAAAAACAUGUAUAAAUAUGGCAGUAUCACCCUUCUUCACGAUCUCUGUUCAACGCCGCACGUCUGGUCAGUAGUGGAGCUGGCUUUGGCGGUAACAUGUAUGUAACAUAUCGAUACAUCAUACCCACGAACAUAUCAUUCUCGUCGAUAUCAUGAUUAUAUGGAUGAAACGGGUCAAAAGGUUCCAUUUUUUUUUUGUAAAUAGAAAUAUAGAAAAUAUAUUAAACUUGAUAGAAAUGUGUAUUAGAGAGAAUUAGAUAAAUUUUCUAUGUAAAGAUAAGUUAGAAUGUGUGUGUGUGUGUAUAUAUAUAUAUAUAUAUUAAAGUAAUUUUUUUUAUUAUUCGUGACCGUUCCACAUCGGUCAGAAAGUAGACCGUUUAUCCCGUUUCGUCCCGUUAUCACCCACACACCGAAUAUCGUAACGCCAAAAAAACGUGUACCUGGAGGCGGUGUUUGCACCGUUAUACCAACAUUUUUUGAUGUACACGUCGGAUUAACGGGCACUUCGGUUGCCCAUUCCGAGUAGUCUAAAUGUCAAAAUGCAAUGAAGAAAAAGAUUCAUUACAAAUGUCAAUUAUAAGUAUGUAGAAGGAUAAAAUAUAAAAAAGUUAUUAUCUUUUGGGAUAUACACAGUAAAGUCCCAAUAUUUUCAUCGAUUUGACAAGAAAAUCCUGAACUUUAUUUUUUUGACAGUAAAGUCCAAAUUACCGGCAGUUUUUGACACUUUUACAUUUUUUUCCCGAUUAGCCGGUAAUUAGGACUUUUUUGUCAACAAAAUAAAGUUUAGGACUUUCUUGUCAAAUCGUCAAUUAGGACUUUACUGUUAAAAAAAAAAAUAAAGUUUAGGACUUUUUUUGUCAAAUCGUUGAAAAAAUUGAGACUUUAGUGUAUAUAUAAUUUUUUUGGUUAGAAACUUAAUGAUAUGAUACUCUUUACGCAUAAGAGUUAUUGAAACAUUCUCUAAUCAGCUAGAUCAUAUUGAAAUCCUUUACGUUUGCUUCUUGUUAAAUCGUUAUUUUAAUCUCAACAAACUGACAUUGAAAAAAAUUGAGAUAAUCAAGAAAGAAAGAAAGAACCAGGGUUGUGUUGGCUUUUUGCAGUCUCAAAAAUGGAGAAAUUAGAAACCUACAAAAACGAAAAUGCCCUGACUUUUUACAAAUACAAACAACACGUGCCUAGUCAAAAUGGUGUGAAUGUGGAGAAGGGAAAGAAGGACAAUUUCGUUUUUUUCGGUUUCUUAUUUCUCCAUUUUUGGGGUUGCAAAAAGCCAACACAACCCUGGUUCUUUCUUUCUUUCUUGAUUAUCUCAAUUUUUUUCAAUGUCAGUUUGUUGAGAUUAAAAAAACGAUUUAACAAGAAGCAAACAUUAAUGAUUUCAAUAGAAUCUAGCAUAUUAGAGAAUGUUUCAAUAACUCUUAUGCUUAAAGAGUAUCAUACCAUUAAAUUUCUAACCAAAAAAAUUAUAUAUACACUAAAGUCCCAAUAUUUUCAACGAUUUGACAAAAAAAGUCAUAAACUUUAUUUUUUUUGACAGUAAAAUCCUAAUUGACGAUUUGACAAGAAAGUCCUAAACAUUAUUUUUUUUGACAAAAAAGUCAUAAUUACCGGUUAACCAGAAAAAAAUGGUAAAAAUGUCAAAAACUGUUGGUAAUUUGGACUUUACUGUCAAAAAAAUAAAAUUUAAAACUUUUUAUCAAAUCGAUGAAAAUAUUAGGACUUUAUGGUAUAUAUCCCUUAUAACUAAAUAGCAACUAUAAUGUGUGGAGUUUGGUAAAUUCCGCUUGGGUUUGGUCUCUACAACCCAUUCAACCCCAAGGCUAUUCUAGUAAUUUCCCCACUAGAAGGAGCUAGGUUCCGCUGCCUUUUAAGUCUAGGUUUUCACUAUCAUCACUCUCACUCAUCGUUUUGUGGUUUCCUGUGGAGAAGAGCAGCAGAUACUCAACAACUUGCAGGCUCUAUUUUCUCAUCGCCAUCAGGUAUCUGUAGGUGUCCUAAAAUCUACGGUUAGGGUUUUGUUAGCACAGUAAUUCAUGGAAAAUGUUGAAAUCUCACUUGUUACCGUCGAUUCAAUCUUUAUUUUUUAGGAAAAAACAUCGGUUCACCAUAUCGUUAUAAUUGUUAUGAUGAUUUUGGUAUCAUCGAUGAAGUUUUAUGUGUUAUGUUUUCGUUGUAAGCUGGAUGUUUCAGGAUGUUUGAUGAUGUGUGCGAGAAUUUCAUUUUAGGGUUUAUGGUGUAUGUUUGCUUUCUUAAAUAGCGUCUACAUGUUAGCUAAUAUAAAUAGUUACCUUGAUGUUUAUAUAUUGGUUGCCACUCGGCUUCUUCAUCUUUGAAAACAAUGCGAUUAGACCCCCCUUAGGUUUGGAUCUAUGCUUAGAUGUGGAUUGUGUAAUUUUUCUCGUGAAAACUAUUGGAUAAACUUGCUUCGUUUUUUGCACCAUGGAAAGCUUAUUUAUGAUUUAAGCCUGGUUCCAACUUUGUUUGUGGGGUUAAUUUGCUACUUUUAAUGUCUAUAUGUAAAGUAUCAGUUGCUCUCUUUUAGGGUUUAUGUUUAGGUGUCUUAUUACCUCGACAACAAGCAAUGGUGAUGGGAUUAGAUCAUAUGUGAAGUUCUUUUGGGGUGCAUGGAUUAUUGCAUGUGAUGCCCUAUAAUAGUUUUAAUAUAUCAAUGGCUGUAAAUUAUCUGUCCAUAUUAUGCUAUGGUUAUCUGUCUAUUAAACUGUUUUCUUUUUGAACAUGUAAUGUGCAGAAAGAGUGCUUUGAGGAAUGCUGGAUUGAUUGGUCCCAAAUACAAAGAAGAUGAGCAAGAAGAACCCAUUUGUAUACUUGGAUGUGUCUAUAGAUGGAGAUCCUGUUGAAAGGAUGGUUUUUGAGGUCUUUAUUAUAGCUUUAACCUUCUAAGAUCUUUCUUUUAUUCUUUUUUCUGCCAGAUGGCAUUGCCACAUCACUUAUUAUCAAGCUGAAAAACUAAUUCCUUUUAUAUGGUGUUACAGCUAUUCUCAGACACUGUUCCCAAGACUGCUGAGAACUUCCGGGCACUUUGUACUGGUAAAAUGUUCAUCAUAAUUGGUAUUCUUUUUGUCAUAAGUUUAUAAAACUGGAUGCUUUUUUAAAUUUCAGGAGAAAAAGGGAAUAGUCAGAAAACCGGGAAACCCCUACACUACAAAGGAUCCUUCUUUCAUCGCAUAAUCAAAGGAUCCAUGGCUCAGGUAUGUUUUCUAUCAAUUACUUUCAUAAAUUAUAUUGUUUUUUUUUUUUUGUUUUGUUAUUUUAUUUUCCACUUAGUUUCUUCUAGUUCUGGAUGUCUUGGUGGUGGUCUGUCUUUUUAGUCGGCUAUCCUUGUUUAAUCUGUAGGAUACAGGGUUGAUGGUUCCAACUGCUUUUCUUGUGAUGUAGUUUUUAAGGUUGUAAUUAUUUGGUUGUAUUUGUAAUAUCAUCACAUUCAUUCUGAAACAUAUCAUACAAAAUUUACAAAUCCAUCUUUCUGCAAUGAUUUCUGAAUAUAAUUUCUAUAAGUGAAUUAAUUCUUUGUAUUUUUUUUUUGCAGGGUGGGGAUUUUUAUAAACGUGAUGGUAUGUACAUUUUGCCACCAAUUUUUUUUAAUUUUUGUAUACAAAAUCCAUAUCUCAUUGGUUUACUUUUGCAGGAAGUUAUGGAGAAAGCAUAUAUGGAGGGAAGUUUCCAGGUGAGAAAAGUCACUAUGUUCAUUACUUGUGUUUUCUGUUUGAAUGUUGAUGAUCAUAAAUACAUAAUAUGUCUUUAGGUAGUUGAGGAUUUCAUUUAAUUUGUUUAAAAAGUGUAUGCAAAAGAAAUUGAAAUAAACCUUUUAGCUUCUAUCUCCCCAAAAUUUCUAUAUAUGUUUAUAUUUUGAGAGAAUGGGUUUCCUUUUUGAAUUGCCUGUGAAGGUGGGGGCUGACAUUGGUCUUAUUCUCGGUGCAUGGGAGCUCAACCCACAAUGAAAUGGGCAAAUUGUAAUUGUCUUGAAAAAUGGUGGGUGUAUGAAUAUUUUGUGUGCCUUUCUUUCUAGGUUUGAAAUCUUUGGUAAAAUACAAAGUAUUUGGUUUGGAUGAUUUAUGCAGCUAGUUAAGUCUAAUGUAUAAUGUAUGCUUUAUAUUUAUGCCCAAUACAUUGUCAUGAGUUUUUUUAUCUGGCUUUUUUUCCAUGUUAAGUUCCUGGCUACCUUAUUAUUAUUAUUUUGAAUUGGUUAUAAUCAAAAUUUGUUACAUUUCAGAUGAAUCCUCCAAACUGAAACAUGAUGCUCCUGGCCUUCUAACAAUGGCAAUUGCUGAUCGUGAUUCACGUGGCUCUUUAUUUAAUGUGACAUUUGGCGCUAAUCGCCACCUGGAUAGGUUUGCUCAUCUUUGUUGUUACAAUUUUAUGUUGGACAAAUUGAUAGAAAUAGCUACAUACCUUACUUUUGUUAUGGUUACAUAUUGCUAUUAUUGAUAAAAAAAAAGUGUUAAGUAUGUUGCUAUUACGGGUAAAAAAAUAAAUACACUGCAUGUAUUGGUAUUUCCUACAUGUUAUCUUUUUAUAUUUAUCUGAAAAGUUAGAGUUUUAGCAACAUUAACUGUCUAACUUUUGAUGGAAAAGGAAAUUUAAGUGUUGGAAAUGGAAUUUCUUGAACAGGAAGUAUGUUAUUUUUGGAAAGCUUGUUCAAGGACUUGAUGUAUUGAAGAAGAUAGAAAAUGUGGGUGAUGAAGAUGGAAUGCCAACUGUGACAGUGAAGAUCAUUUAUUGUGGGGAAGUAAACGAGAGUGAGAAUCAAAGCUCUGGUAUGGUGGAUAAUUAUUGCAUUUUUAAUGACAUAAUUGUUUGUUUAUUUUUUUAAAAUAAAGUCUCUGUUUUUGAUGUUUUUAUAGAUAAGAAGGCAGCCAGCAAGUUGAAAAGUGGGAAAGAUGUUUCUUCAGAGGUUCACAGCCAUGAAGUGAAGCGGAAGGGAAAGCACAAGAAAUCUUCAAAAGAUAAAAGGAAGAAAAGAAAAAGAUAUUCUUCAUCUGAUUCAGACAGUUCAUCUGACAUGGAAUCUGACUCAUCUGAUUCGGAUAGUGAUUCCGACUCUGAUGAUUCAUCCUCGUCAUCAUCUGAUGUCAGCUCUUCAAGUGAUGACAGGCGUAAGAGAAAAAAGAGAUCCAGAAAGGAUCGACACAAACGUGGAAAAAGAAAGGACAAAAAACGCGAGAAGAAGCGUAGGAGACGCGAUAAGAAAUCCAAACGUAAAUCAAAGAGGUUGGUAUGGUAUUUUAAUUUUAGUUAAACCUUAAAUAAAGUAAUGUUUUAUUCUUUAUAAAAGUUAUUAUAUAUCAUUUUGUAGGGUGUCUGGUAGCGGAAGUGAGAGUUCAAGUGAAAGCGAACAUGCGUCUGAGGACAAUAAUGGUGAUGUCAAAAAGCGAAACCGGAAACAUAAUAAUAGUAAUAAUAAAUCUCCUACAGCUGAAUUUGAAGAUGGUAAAACAGGAGAUGCAUUUGCAUUUGAUGGACAUGUAAAGGAGGAAGAAGGUGAAUACCCGAAAGAAAAUGGUGGGGACCGCCCAAGCAAUGGUGUUGACCUGGCGAAGGCUGAUAUAGUCGAUGACCAUCUCGGAAACUCUAGGUUCAAUCAAAUUUAAUAAAACUUUAUUAUUAUUAUUAUUAUUAAAUUCUUUCUAAUCUUAUUUUUUUUUUACUAAACAGAAGUAGAAGCAAAAGUCCUCCUCGAAGGGAAUUGAGCAAGAGUAUGAGUAUUAGCCCAAGGAGGAGUCAAAGUGUUAGUGGGACCCCUCCUAGACGGGCCCCAUCACGUAGCCCGGUCAGAAGCGAAAGCAGCAGCAAGAGUCCGGUUAGAAGCAUAAGCAGAAGUCCAGUGAGGGGCAAAAACGUCAGAAGCAUAACUCCCUCACCAUCACCUCCACGAAGGAGUGUUUCUAGAAGCCCACUGCGAACAUCGUCUAGAAAAUCCUCACGAAAAUCAGUAAGCAGAAGUCCGGUUAGAUCUUCCAGAAGAAGCUACAGCAGAAGCCCAGUCAGAUCAUCUAAAAGAAGCUUGAGCAGAAGCUCUGGUAGACCGCCUUUAAGAAGAAGCCCUAGCAGGAGUCCGGUCAGACCGCCUAUGAGGGGUGGUCGCCGGAGCUAUUCCAGGAGUCCGGUAGGUGGGCGUAGGGCGGCUAGGUCACCGGAGAGAAGCUUGUCUAGAAGCGCUUCACCUGAUGGCUCUCCCAAACGUAUCAGAAGAGGACGCGGUUUCAGUAACCGAUUUUCUUACGCACGCCGAUACCAUUCUCCCGAUCGCUCCCCGGUCAGAUCUUAUCGCUAUAGAAGUGACCGCGACCGUGACCGUGACCGGUAACAAACUAACAGCUAGCAAUUUUAAAUUAAGUUUUUUAAUAUAUUUAAUAUAAAAACAAUUAAACCAAUAUUUUGGUUUGUAGUUAUUCAAGCUAUAGAAGGCGCAGCCCACUGAGAGACAGAAGUCCACCAAGGUAUUUUGGAGUAAUAAUGGAAUCUUUUUUUUUGGUGAGAAAGUGAUUAUUUGAUUGUUAAAUUCAAUUAUUUACACAGGUACAGAGGGAGAAGAAGCAGGACACGGAGUCCGAGUGUGUCCCGGAGUCCUGUCCCUGUGCGGUACCGCCGGCGCUACAGUCGGAGCCGGUCGCCGGUGGAGACAUCAAGGUACAGGCCAUCACCGCCAGUGGAGAGGAGGAGGGCGCCACGCAGCAGGACCCCGCAUUCUCAAAGUAGGAGCCCGUAUGAACGUAGGUCCUCUCCAUCACCAUCUCCGAGAAGGAGCGUGAAGUCAAAGUCAAAGUCAAAAUCGCCAUCGAGAUCAAGGUCAAUGUCGAGGUCAAGAUCUAGGUCGUCUUCUGGAAGCCCACCUGGGAAGAAAGGACUGGUGUCGUAUGGAGAUGGUUCUCCAGACAGUCAGAAGUGAGAAGAGAAGAGAAAGAUCUUACUUUUGAGGGUGAAAUGAUUUAUAGACUUGGUAAUUGGUACACUAUGUAGGGUGGGUGUGUUUUGAAUAAUUUGACUAUUUCUCUUGUAUUUCUUUCUUCUUCUGUGGAGUGACUGUUGAGGUGCUGCUAGACUAGUAACGAUGAUUGGAUAUGUGUUUGUUUUUAAGAGGUUGGUUAGACUGAGGGGAAUGGGACCGAGUAUCAAUUAUGUUAUGUUUUAAAAAGCCUCUUCUGUUUUUAUCUUUAUUGUUAUGGUUUGCUCUUUGAUCAGUGCGACUUGAAGGUAGUUUGUGCAUUUAUAUAUGUAUUAACAUAAUCUUGUGUGCUUGAAUUGAUACAUUAUAUUAUAAUCUUUUCAAAGAAUAAGCUAACAAGUUAAAAGGAGGGUCAUCAAGAUGUAUUGAAUUAUUAAGUAGAUUGAGAGAAGAUUAUUUACCAUCUCUUUAAGACCGGUAAUAAUUGCGACAUAUGUAUUGUAUUUAGUUAUUUAUUAUUUAUUAACCGAUAAAAUUGGAAUAAGUUACCUAAAAUUUAGGGGAAAAUAUGAUUAAUUACGUAAGUUCAGGGGGUAUUUUGGUUUACGGCAACAGCAGGCGACGUGUAGAAGAAGAAUCUCGGGAACCCUAGCAGAGGUUUGUUUCUCAAUCCUACGCCGCUACGACCAUUGCCGCUUUCUCCACUCCACGAUGAUAACAAAGAAACAUCCGUCGCCGUUUCUCAAUCCAACGGUAAUAUGAUUUACUUGUUCGUUAUUAUUUGAAUCUAUUAAACACAAGAUAUAAGCCGAAGCAUUUUGAUUGAAAUAAGACAGUAACCAAUAAAUACUAAAAGCCAAUCUCUUUUCUGUAGCUUGGUAACAUUUGUAUUACUAAUAAAUGAUGAAUGUAUUAUUGAUUGUACUUGGGUUUUUGAUUGACAGGGUAACAUUAAUGAUAUUGAUCGUAAUGUUCUAUGCAAUGUGUUACACAUCAAACAAUGCUCCAAAGCCUCCCAAUAUAUGGUGAAGUUUACAAAGCAAAGGCAUUGGAAUCAUCAAACAAGUAUGUCUCUACCUUUUAUAAGCUUCUUCAUUUUCAGUAACAUUAUAGGAAUUAGACACUCUUUCUUUGUCACCACUGCAUUUGUGAUGGCAUUGGCAGCUGGUAAGCUUUGGGACACCAUUUCUGAAUGCAUCUCCCAAAUUCAAUCUGAUUGUGAUGAUGAAGCUAAAGAGAGGGCACUUCAAACCCUAGUUUCCAUCACAAAAGCAAGCCCUCCACACAGAAAUUUAGUCAUGCAGAAUCAGGAAGCCAUCCCCGCUCUCCUCUCCCUGCUCAAAUCCUCCUCCCGUGCUCUUGAAAGACUCUCACUUUCCAUCCUCUUCAACCUCUCAUUAAACCCUAAUCUCAAAUCCACCCUUGCUGACAUGGCAACCAUUCAACACCUCAAUACUGUGAUCCUGUCUCGUGGGUCACUCGAGUCUAGCAAACUAGCAGCUUCUUUGAUAUGCAGCCUGGCAAUGCUAGACAAGAAUAAAGCAGUGUUUGGGGUAGCGAAUACUAUUCAAGCAUUGUUGAAGGGAGUUUCAAGGCCUAAUAGUCCUGUGACACAUCACCUUCUCAGCUCACUUGCUGAGUUGGUGCACUUCCAUGGGAAUUGCACAUUGGCUGUUAGAUCAGGUGCAGUUGGUGUUCUCCUGAGAAUAGUUGAGAACAAAGACAGUGAAGAUCUUUGUGGGACUGCUCUUAGUAUUCUUGGGCUUCUUGCUAAGUUUGAUGAAGGGCUAAAAGCUUUGACAAAUACACCUAGUAUUGUGAGUAGAAUGCUUGAUGUGUUGAAAGGUAGGUCCAUGUUGAAUAAUGAAGGUGCAGCCGAGGUACUUCUUCGUGUUUUUGAUGAGAGUGAAGAAUGCUUGAGAGAUGCUAUCGGAUUGCCUGAUUUCAUGUAUACAUUAGCUGAGCUCUCGGUGAGAGGAUCAACGAGAGCUCGGGAGAAAGCUUCUCUACUGUUGAGAAAACUUGAGGCUAAUGAAUCAUAUGUAGAUGAUGAUCUGGUGUUCUUGAAAUGGUAAGGUAGGAUGCGUGUCUUAAGAAAAGUAACAUAAUAAGAGCUUUUGUUUGUUUUGUAGCACAUGAGUGUGCACAUUAUUAGGUCCUCUUUGAAGGUUUAGGUAAUGAAUAGAUGGGUUUGGUGUUAAAAAAGGCAUGGAGUUUAUAGGAUUGAAGCCAUGACUCACAAAACUACGAACUACAUAAAAAAUGAAUUUGAGAGUUACAUAAAGCCAUAAAGUUAAAUUUAUAAAGAAAGCAUAACUAUCUUGCAUCCAAAUACAACAACAACAACAAAUAAACCCAAAUCCCAUAAAGUCUUGUGAGGUAAGUGGGAGGUUUGAUGUAGGUGGUCUUAGUGUCUUGCCUCCACCCGUGGGUAGAGAGGCUACCUCUAUAGGAGACUUUCGCCAUGAUCAAGGAUGCACCAUACAUGAGCAAAUAAAAGCAAUAUACAAUUAAAUAUACUAAUACUAGAAAUAGUACUAAUUGUAAAAAUGAAAUAACAUAAGACGAUAAAUACUUAAAUGCCUAAAUGAUAAUACAAGAAACAAAACUUAUGCUACUACACUAACCUAAUUCUCCGUCUCCACUCCUACCUAUGUGAGGUCUGUAGAAGGUGCCAACUCCUUCGUGUCUAACCUCACACUAUAGUUACGUUGCGUCCUCGGUCGACCUCUCCUCUUCGCCUUACCGUAGAUGUGACGCCUCGAUCCAUUGAGUACCGUCAUCUAUCCUUAGUACACUUUAUUUUAAAUACAACUAAGAUAAUACCUUAGAUUUCAUCUUCAUCAUGGUUUAACAAAAUUACAUAAGCAAAAGUGCAUAAAAGAAAAACUAUUUUAACCGUUUAUAAUUCAUCCAAAAUUUCUGUUAAAACACUAACUACUUGUGGUCCUUCUUCUUUCCUGAGAUACAUACAUGAAUACAUAAGCUUUAAGUUUAGUGAGUAUUUUGGUUUUAAUAUUUAGCAUAAACAUUUGAUGGAAAAAUAACAAUUAAAUGCUUGAAAACAUUAAUUUGAGAUCUUAUAGCUACAUGUAAGUAGGCCCAACUUCUGGGAGGUUUGCUAACCUUGGGAUUCAUAUAAGGCUGUCCCAUAAGGUCCGUUUUUAAGACGUCCCUUCAUCCCAUACCCAAUGCGUUGGGUUACUUGGGUAUUUAAAUGACCGUACUUAACAUGAAUAAAACUUUCAUGCUAACUUCAUAAUAUGUUGUUAAAUGUCUUUGAAAAAUCAUUUGAGCAAGUGAACAUGGCAAAUAAUUUAAAUGCAUUGAACAUAUACGUAGCAUGUAUGUAUCCCAUUAAAUCACAUAAAUAUACUCACCUUUCUUUGAGCUUUUAGGCUUCUUUUUAAUCUUUUAAGUCACCACCAAGCUUGAUAGUGUAUUCUAGGAUGAAAAAAAAUGCUUAACUUCACUUGCUAUGUCUAGUAAAAUUGUGUGCAUUGCUUGCUUGUUCUUUAGGCCUAAAACAUAGUACAUUGUUGAUGAGAUGAUUACACCUAGUGUACUUGUUGUACCUCAUCUCCUUAGAAGCUUACACCUCAAGCCUCUAGCUCUUCUAUGUCAUCUUCCAGCUUAGCUUAAUCUCCUUAGAAGCUUACACCUCAAGCCUCUAGCUCUUCCAUGCCAUCUUCUAGCUUAGCUUAAUCACUCAAAAUCUAGGCAACGCUUAUCUCUACUUGUAUAUGCUAGCUUGGUUACUACUUUUAGCCUUGAUUUGUCAUGCUAAGCUUUGGUUUACUUGUAGCUGGUGUUGUGGUACUUGUAAGCAUAUGGUAAGCUACUUGUGUGCUUGCUUAUUUUCAACUUUUCUUUUUACAUAAAAUUUGCAACAUUCUUCUAUAACAACUAUUCUUAAAGUGUCCCUUAUGUUCUUUUAUAUUACAAGGGUGUUAUGGUAGAUGAUUGCCUCCUCUUGACAUAUCUAAACCACUAAAAUCUUUCUUUCCUCGAAUUUUCGGUGGUUCACGCAACUCCUAACUUAUUUAUGAUUAUAGCAUUCAGUAUUUUCUCCAACAUUGUUGUAAAGCAUAAACACUGAAGGAUCCUCAUUUCAGAAAUUUCCAUCUUCCUCUCAUGCUCUUUUUUUUCCGGCUAACAUUUGAAGCAACUACCACCUUGUAUCUUGCAUCCAAAUGAUGCCAAUGGUUGUUUUAAAACAAUUUUGGCUAAGGGUGUAGACUAGACAAAGCAAAGUAGAAGGAGAAACGAGGUUUAUUGGGUAGGGUUUAACAUGGACUAGGCUUAUAUAGACCACACUUUUAUCAUGUUAGAUAGUAGAUAGUUUUUUAUAAUGAUUUCUUAUGCAUCUUUAGCGUGGUCGUACAAUUAUGAAUAUUUAUAAUAGUUGGAUAAAUUUAUAAAAUAUGAAAGUGUUGUGGCAAAAUCUAGAGAUUUGAAACAUGUGAACCUACAUGUUUUAGACAUGACACUUUAGUGUCUUGUUUAGGGACCUAUUCCGUGUAAAUGCAUGUAAUUAUCACAUGAAGCUUGCAAAUUGAACUUAUUUUACUAAAUAUUAGGUGUAGACUACCAGGAAAGAAAUUUAAAGCCCAAAUUUGCUUGCCUUUUCUUUCAUUUCCUUUAUCGUGAGUUCGUGACCUUUCCCCUUUAUUGUGCCCUCGACAAUCGACAUAGGACAUCGCCGAGUGGUGCGUUUGCUAUCGUAUCUUUCGAUUGCACCUCAACUACACCUAAAACAACAAGAAUUUGUUUAUCGCAUUGAUAUUAAGGUAUCUUUUUCGAAUACUUAACCUUUAGAUCUAGUUUGAUCCCAAAUCGAUUAUUCCAAAAUUUUACUUGUAAUGCUUUAGUUAGGUAAAUUAUUUUGCAACCGGAAAGAAUUGGCUAGGGUUGUUUGGAAUAAAUGUUUGUGUGCUUCCGAUUACGCUAUCAAUAUUUCUUUACAUUUUUGUUAAUAGGAUUAAUGUCAAUGAACUUAACUUGUAUAUGGAAUGUCAUAAUUAUGAUUUCCAUUCCAUGAUAAACAAUGUUAGGGCCUUAUUAAUGAGAUAAUUCUUUAAUUAAGGUAGUUAUUUAAUUACUUAGAAGCAGUGAUGAUAGUUUGUUAAGCUUUGGUGUCAUGGAUGGUGUCACUUAGAUCAUGAGAGAGAUAGAGAGAAGGGAAGGGGGGGGGGGGGAUCUUAUGGGCCAUCAUUUGUACCCAUCUAGUAGAAUGACGAGAGAGUCGAGUUCCAUAGGUCUUGGAUAUUUCUUCCAUUUCAUAGUGGAUGAUAGUGGGUAUCUUACUAUGAUUUCCUUCUUUGUAUCUCCAAAUUAGCAAAGGGUUUAAAGGCAUUUAGCUACAACUCAUUGCCUUAUUGUGGUUGUAAAUAAUAUGUCCAUCUUUUUGCACAUGUUAUGCUUUUUUCGUAAUCUAGUGGGAAAUUGUGUUAGAUCUUUUGAUAUCCUCGUUUAUAUAGAGGGACACGUUUGAGAACAUGAACCAUAAAUUUUGGAUAUAAUGAUAUUAACUAUGUUGAGACAUCUUUUUGGUUUUAAGAUGAAUUUUGGUUUUACUCCCACCAUUAUCCCAUUUUCUUUGGUUUUUCCUCUCAUUUUUGGACCAUUGACUCUAGUCGUAGUCAAAUCUCAUCUUUACCAUUUUAUAUGGACCUUGUUGCUCAAACCUCAUCUUUAAUAUCGCUAUGCGGCGGUGUUUGGGAUUGCUUUUCAAAACAACCUAUUGACUUAUUGGCUUUUUGAAAAGCCAAUAAGUCAAAAAUAAUGUUUGGCAAACUCAAAAGCAUUUUUCAAAAUAACUUUUCCAUUAGCUUCAAAAAGGAGAUUUCAAAAAGCAGGUAAAACUUGGCUUUUUGAAACUCCUUUUAGCUUUUUAAUCAUAAUAGCUUCAAAAAAGAGAUUUUAAGCCUAACAUUUUUUUUAAACUUAUUGCCUUAUUGGAUUUUGCCAUCUCAAAAGCUAAUCCAAACACUUUUUUAAGUCAAUAAGCACUUUUUCCCAACAACACUUUUGGAAUUCAAAAAGCAGUCCCAAACACCCCCUUGUUCCAACCAUGUGUUGUCAAUGCACCAAGAUCUUCAGUUUUGAUCUGAGCCUUGGCCUACAUUAGUGCUGGCUUUGACUAUUAAGUUCUACCUGAGUUGGGUGUCACUAGCAUUUUCUCAAGAGAUUACUUGAUCUUUCAUUAUUCUACCUUGGUGUCUUUUAGCAGAGCAUCAGAGUUUUCUCUAUUGAGUCAAGAAAUUCUAAACCUUUUAUAUUGCUGGUCGCCUAUAGAUGUUUUUUCCAAUCCAUGACUUGUAAACUACGGCGUUCUCUGUUCUUAUAGAUUUGGUCCUUGAAUUUUAUGCAAGAAAUAUUUUAUAAUGCUUAUUUAAAAAAGAAAAAACUAAUGUAAUGCAAUGUUUAGAAGAGGAAGAAUGAGCAUGGUGGGAGAUUGGAUUUGUGGGUCAUGCAAUCACUUAAACUUUUACUGGAGAGAAUCAUGCAGGAGAUGCAAAGAGCCACGAUCCCAAGACAUGAAUGCAGCUGUGAGUGCGGGCCCCAGGGUGUUUGCUUUUAGGCCCGGGGAUUGGUUCUGUGAUGUUGGGAUUUGUCAGGCUCACAACUUUGCAAGCCGAAGAUUCUGUUUCAAAUGUGGUGUAAUUAAAAGCAUACCAUCUUUUGGUCCUACUGUAGGACUAGGAUACUACCCUACCCUUCCCCUUCCCCCUCCCCCUCCUCCUUUCUUGAGUUUCAGUUUCAUGAAUCCCAGAAUCAGCCAACGAGGCUGGAAGCCUGGCGACUGGUUUUGUGGCAGGGGGUUUUUUUUUUAAUUUUUUUUUUUUUUUUUUUUUUUUUAUUUUAAAUAUUUUUUUUUUUUUUAAAUAUANUUUAUCUUUUUUCAUAUUUUUUUUUUUUUUUUUUUUUUUAAUUAAGGUCAUAAUCAUUAUUCAUUAAUACUAGUUGAUUCUCAUUCAUAUAAUCAUAUGAUAUGAUAUAGGCCUGGCUGUAAUGCACACAACUACGCUUCCCGAAUGAUAUGUUUCAAGUGCAAGUCUUCUAGGGAAUUGGUUACCAAUGUUUCUAAUUGAUUCCUUCCUUGCAUUCCGAAUUCUGGUAAAGAUUUUUGUUUUUUUUUUUCUUAUGAAUGUGUGUGUAAUUUAUGUCAUGUUUUUCAGGUCCUAUGGUUAUGCUAUCACCUCUGUUAGGAGAGAGGGAGAGUCAGAGUUGUUGUUUUUUCGUUCAGAUCUUGUUAUAUCUUAUGUGUUUCUUUUUAUUUCUGUUGGUUGCAUUGCAAUGGAGUUUGAAUCUGGUAUGAAGUUUACAUGAAUUAAUGAAGGAUGUAAUUAUAAGUGGUUUCUUCAGUUUGAAUGUGAUGAUUAUGGAUGGAUGGAUGGAGUUAUAAGAUUUUUGUGGCAAUUUGGUUGGAUCAUAUGUGUAGUUGUAAGAAAAGUUCAUUCAACUGGGUUGUUGAGUUUCAUACACAUUCAUUUGCAAAUGGUAAUUUGACAAGGAUUUUUUUUAAUAUAGCUGAUUUUGGAAAUUUUGGUCUUCAAAUGAUUUUUUUGUUUUUUGUUUUUGUUUGUUUGUUUGUUUUUUUUUUUUUUUUUUUUUUUUUUUUUUUUUUUUUUUUUUGUUUGUUUGUUUGUAAUGGUCUAUGUUCCAAAUAAAAUGACUUUUUUUUUUGUUUCCUAAGUUAUACCUGAUUUUUGCAGUUUUAUCACAAAAAUAGUCAUUUUCUUGGUACGAGGACCAAAAUCAUUAAAAAGAGGAUCAAAAUUGCAAAAAAAAAACUCACCUCAAAAUUGCAAAAGAAAACUCACAGACCAAAAUUACAAUUCAAAAUUACAAAAAGAGGACAUACUACCUAAUUCAUUGAUGAUUAAAGUGGGACAUUGUUUAGUCGUAUUCAAUAAUAUAUAGAAGUAGGAUCGGGUGAUGACUUGAAAAAUAGUGAGGAUUGCGAUGACAAAUCUUGGAUGUUUGUUGGUUUAAAUGGGUGGUUGAGAUAAAUCAAAAUUAAUAAAUAAACAAAAAAAAAAUCGUCCAAUGACAUUUUUGUAAAUAAAAUCAAGUUAGGAUCACUUUCCAAUUAAAGGGCAAUGUCUGGGGGUCAUAACUGUCAAAGGAAAUAAUAAAAUUUUGUUGCUGAAAUGAACUCCACGCACAAAAGGUGCGUCGCCAACUCUAUGGAUCUUACUCUUGAACACGUUUCGCCACCAGGUUUACUUGGGUUUAUUUAUUUAUUUUUAUUUUUCAUGGAUCUUACUCUCGUAUGAACUUGUAUAAGUAGUCCCCGGAAAUGUAUUGACCUGAACUUCAUGAAUAUGGCUUCGUAAUCUGGUUUGGAUGGGUUCUAACGGGAAAAAAACAGGUCUUGAACAAGCUGUUGUUUCGAGUUAAAAUCUGAAAAUUUAACCUAGUUGUUUAAUUAUAUGUUUAAGGUGAAUAUCCCUAUUUAAUCUUGAUUGUUAUUCUUAGGAGUUUUGAAAGGUGACCGGGUGCGAAUGGGUUCUGGUUUCAGUUGGAGGUUUACUCUACUACUUGAGGUGAGUUUCUCACUACACUGUGUAAUGUUGUGCAUUCUUUGCUUUAGCUCGUGUGUGUUAUAGUAUGUUUAUACGGGUAACACUAGAUUGGGUUAGUAUCUAGUGGGAGUAUGUUAUUUGUUCAUGUAUUGAAGAAUAUGUAUAGAAGGGAUCGACGUAUCCGAGCAGAGGAUCGGGCAUAGCCAGUGUGUCCCAAGGGGUCGACGAAUUGAGCAAGGGGGAUCGGGCAUGACCAAUGUGUCCCAAUGGGUUCGGGUGAUCGGGCUUAUCCAAUGUGCCCCAAUGGCUCGAUGUAUCGAGCAAAGGGGAUCAGACAUAACUAAUGUGUCCUAGUAGGUGUAUGUUGUUAUUGAUUCGCUCUUUGACAUGCAUACGUGUUUGUGUGGUUGAUAUUGUUGUUAUAUGUGUAUUAAGGGUAGAGCUUGUAUGAUAUAGACAUAUAGUAUUGUGUAUGUGUGAAAUCCCCUAAGCUUUGUGCUAUUCCCUUUUCCCUUAAAAAAAUACCAUUUCAGGAUUAACAUGUACUUAGGAUGGCAGGGUGUGAUAGUACACACCGGCUCAGUACGGAUUGAUGAAGUUUUCAUAUUACCUUGGAUUAUGUUUCUUUGAUUUUGGAAUUUAUAAUUAACAAAUGGUUUUUGAAAUUUAUUGAUCUUGGGAUUAUGGUUUUAAAACUUAUUUUGAAAAAAAGUCAUGGUUUUGAAUAUACUUAUAUUGUUUUUAGAAGUUCAAAUUUAUUGUAAAUUUUAGGAUGUUACACAAUUGUAUUGGAUUGAGUGCGAAAUUUGAAAAUCCAAUUGGAUUACUUGAAGGCAAUGUUACUUUGUUAGUCUUAUUUAGCAUAAUUGUGUGCGGUUUUAUUUUUAGUUAUCGUAGUUAUAUUUGGUUAUUCGAUAGAAAGAGAUUAGAAUUGGUUGGAUAAUGGAUAACUACUGAAUUAAACCAAUAAAAAAAUAUCCAAUAGAUAGAAUCGAUCUAAUCCAACAUCCAAUUGGAUCGAUUUGGUUUGAUUUUUUUAUGAUGAAUUGGAUUGGACCGGUUGACAAAUCCAACAUCUAAUGGAUGAUUAGAUUGGAUUGGUUCCAUCGAAAUCCAUUGGAUUUGAACCGCUGAUCACCCAUAAUUUGGUUAUUAUGUUUUUUUCAAUCAGCUGCUGGAACAUGAUGGUUCUAAAAACAUUUUGCAAAAAGGUAAGAAUCAGCCAUAAAGUCACAUUACCUUUCAUUGUUGAUGGUUGUGGAAUGUGAACUACUUUUUAUUAAAUUAUAAAUUAUCUAAGGAUGAAACUGCAUUUCCUUUCUUCAUAUCACUAUAACACAUUACAUUAUUUUUGUAUGUUUUUAUAACAUCAAAUCUUUGUUGUGAAACAAGGUUUAUUAUUAACAUGAGUUGGUUUGAGCUUUAACAAAAUUUUAAGAUAAUUAACUAUUUCAUACAAAUGAUUGUUCCAUGGAUUAUAUCAUUAUUAUUAUUAUUAUUAUUAUUAUUAUUAUCAUUAUAAAUCUUAUAAUAGAAGUCACUUGUGACAUAUAUCCUUAUUAUUAUCAUUAUCAUCAUUAUAAAUCUUAUAAUAGAAGUCACUUAUGACGCGGUUCAAGAUAACUCCCUAUAUUGAAGUGCAAAUAAUAAAGAUACGAAUGAUGGAUGUUACGUAAUAAGAUUAUAAUUUGAAAUAGUAUGCUAGAAAGUAACAUGACAAACAAAUCCUGAAACCGUAAACAACAAACAUACAAAAGCCAGUUUGGUAUCAAGAACAAGGUUGGACCGAAACCGUAAACAACAAACAUACAAAAGCCAGUUUGGUCCAAAACCCGAAACCCGAUUUAGUACCCGGAACUGGACCGGACCGAACCCCGACCCGCUACACCUAAAAACGGUCCAGUUCUCGGGUAAGGUAAUUCAUGGUUUUCGGUCUUCAGGCUGGUCCGGUUCGGGUUCUGCUCGUUGCUCUAUAUUGAACCAUAUUAAUUUGAAACUACGAAAACUCUUCGGCUUAUAUUUUAAGUUUCUAUUUGGUGUGUUAGCUGAAAAAACUAGUUUUUAACUUAUAAGCUAGUUUAUCCAUAAACUAUCUCGGAUAACUUAGACAAAACUGCAAAAUUGGUCCUUGUGGUAUGCAUUUUUUCUGAGGUUUAAUCCAAACCUCGAUUUUUUUGGAUUGGUGGUCCUUUUUGGUCCCUUGAAAAAUUGAAAAGACUAAAAUGCCCUUCUGAACAGUUUAUAUGUUAUUUUCUAUUUAAUUUAAAAUUAUAUUAAUUAAAAAUAUAGGGCCCACCUCUUUCUUUCUUUCUUUCUUUCUCUCUCUCUCUCUCUCUCUCUCUAUAUAUAUAUAUAGCCAUUUGGGUUUGUCUUUGACAAACAUCUAAUAACAUCUUCAUAAAUUCAAGAACACUCAAGAACAUCUUAUGCCAUCACCACCAUUCGACCACCGUCCUCCACCACCACUGUCUGCCACCUCCAUCUCCACCUGAACUUUUUAUACCACUUUAUAUCCGCCUAAAAUCAUCCCAAAAACAAAAAUCAUACACAAAAUAUGGGUUUGUUCUUGAGUUUCCCCUUAAAAAUAAUCACUAGAUCUGAUGCCUCAUCAAGAGCUCAUGAACACACACACCCACCCACAUUCAAGAACACAUUCAUGAACCCCAUAUCUGAUGAGCACACAAACACAAACACACAUUAUAUCAGAUCUGAUGAAGGGUUUUUGGAUGAACACAUUCAAGAACAAAUUUUUGAACCCUAGAUAUAAGGAACACACGAACAAAAUCAGAUCGAGUUCAUGGGUUCUCGGGUUCUUCAUCCAAAAAACAAAGAUCUAAAACCAAAACGAACAUUUGACCCCUCAGUGGCAGAUUUCUUCGUCCCCAUCUUCCAAAAACCCAUAUUGUAUGUGUGUAUUUUGUGACAUCCCCGAUUUCACGGCCACAAAAGACCGAUUUGAUUAUGAUUAUUUAAAUCAGAAUAUUCUUUUCAAAAGAGUAAUAAUGUGGAAUUUGUUCCAAAAAAUAUGACAAUAUCAUUAUUAAAGCAUUUCCGAGGAAAUGUAUUUCAUUUAUAUUUAAAAACCUUGGGAUGUCAUGGUCAAUACAACAACAUAAGCAUAAAACGUAAUAUUACAGGCCUUACAAUAGUUUAUUAUUCUAUUGGCCUAUUCUCCUUUAAAUCUCACUCCAAAUUUAAACUCAUCACACCUAUGCUCUUACGCUGCUACCUGUGAAACAAAGAAACUGAGUGGGUUAGGCUUCGGAAAGCCUGAUGAGCACAUAGGGUUUUCAACCCACAAUAAUUAAAUUUAUUAAUUUCAUCAAUCAAUCAACUCGGUUAUCCGUUCCCGUUAUCCUCACUUUUUGUCCCUAAAACAUCUAAAUUAAGGGACUUAGCCUAAGGAUUUUUCAUCGGGGUGACAGCACUGCAUAGGGGAUUCCUCAACAAUAUAUGUUAAAAGGCAACCAUAGGGGAAUGGAGUACAUCUGGUGAACAUUUAGUUCAAAAACACCUACAUGUUUCGAGCCUACCACCGUUCCACUAGACUGUCUAGAAUAGUUUGUGGUCGUCAUCUAUACUCCGCUAGAUGACUGGAUCAUCUUAAACACUCUAGGCCUAUCAUUAUUUAUUUUAUCAUCUAUAUCAUCUACCCAUCUUUACCCUUUAUAUUUAUAGGUACAAAAUACAUACAUAGUUUAAAUCGAAUAAAACAUGUAUAUUUUGUUCAUCCAACAUACAUAUCAAGAACACAGAUAAUAUACACACAUAACACGUAAUUUUUAUUAAAUACUUCAUAUUUAUGUAUAAGAUGAAAAUAACUAUGCACUCACUUGACUAGUUAGUGGUUACUAACUAUGUUCUUAAUCGUCGUUAUAUCACACUUUCUUUAUUUAUGACUCCUUGCUCGAAAAUUCUGAACUCUAAUUUCAAAAUUUCUGGCCCUUCUUUAUAUCGAGUAUAUCUUUGGCUAUUAUUGUUUUCUAUCAUAAGAAUUGCUCAAAGGAUACCUCUAUUUAUAUAAAGGAUUUUUGAAUCGCCCGUACAAUAUCAAAAGAUUAGUCACCCAAAAAAAUUACACGUAUAACUUCAAUAAAUUAGAUGUGUACGAACAUACUUGAAAGGUUAACACAUAUUCUUCUGAUAUUGACUCUAAAUUAGAAGGUGUAUUAUUACUUCUCUUUUGUCAACACAUAUCAUUUUAAUUAAUAAAAUAUGUACGACAUGUAUUAUAUUUCUUACAGGUAUGUUGGUUUGCAAUUUACAAAUCAAUUAUAGUUACAUUUAUGGUCCAUAAGUUAUUAUUGUAUUAACACAAUAUAUCAUUCAAGUUACACUGUAGUCCCUCAGCUGCAUGGAGCCCCUAAUAAGAAUAAAGAACAAGUAAGAGACGAUCACCCACUUAUUUGUUUGGAUCGGUCCGAUCCAAUCAAAUUAAGUAAAUUCAACUUAAUUCCGGUUUACAAAACAUUGAUUCAAAUAGUUCAAACUAAAUUCAAAUUCGGUAUGAAUUAAUCAAAUUACAAUUCGAUUUUCAAGAGUCGGAAUGUUUUAAAAUAGUUAUAAUUUGAAUAUUAGCUGACUUUAUAAAAGAAAUAUAAUCAAAUGGUUAGUUGUAAAUUAAAAUUUAUAAACUGUUAAGGAAAAUAUAUUUUGAUUCAUUAGAUAAAAAAAUCUUGAAAAAAAAAUACAUAUUAAGGUUUUUAUUAGGAGAGUGUUUCUAACCUAUUUAAAAAACAAUUCAGUAAAUUAAUAAAUAAUUAAAAGUAUAUAUUAAAAAUUAAAAUAUAUAUAUCUAUUCUAAUAAAUGAAAGUGUUUUUUGUCACAUGUUACACUCUCACUCAAUUUAUCAAAUGUCAUUUUGUGGUUAUUUUGAAUUAAUUUAUUUUUCCAAAUGUCAUGUUAUGUUUUUUUUUUUAUUUUAAUAAAGUUCACAUAAUAUUUAAAUGUAAUAAUUACAAUAAAUUUAGUAAUAAAUAAAUAUAAAUUUCAUUAAUGGAUAAAAAAAUCAAUUUUAAAAGAUAAAAAAAAUCAAUUUUUAUAAUUCAUUAUUUUUUUUUUAUAAAUUCAAAGUUCUUAAAUAUUUAGACAUUUAUAAUUAAUUUUUUUGAUUAACUCAUAUAAUCCAUGAGUCUUAUAGUUUACAAAAUAUUUAUCAAAUAAAGAUAUACUUGCAUGCUGUAAGAUAAUUUUUUUUACUAAUUUACCACCCCGGCCUUUCUAACAAUAAUUUGUAUUAUAUAAAAGACAAUGUUUUCUAAAUAAAUAAAAGAUAUUAGUUUAUUUUAUAUAUAGACAACCACAUAUCAUUUCCAUAUAUAACAUGAUGGUUGUUCAGAUCCGUGAUUAUUUAAUUUAAACUAUUAAAUAUGUAUUUUAUGAGUCGGUGAUUUCUAACACUAUUAAAAAAAGGGACAUUGUAACGAAACUAAAAGGCCGAGUUUCCUGUAAGCAGCUGACUGAAGCCAGACAGUCAAGCCAAGCUGAUUCUCCCCGCUCUCGACCAAAAUCUAUUACUAUUUUCAUCAUCACCGACACCCUCCCCCUCUCUUUUCUUAACAAAUCAAUACAAAUGAUUAAUAUGCAGUAAUCAUCGAAAGUGAGAUCAAGAAUGGGCCCUUUUCUUCUCACGCCAAUGCCCAUCAAACUUCAUUGAUUAUCAAGUUCCUUCAAAUUCAAAUCAAGAACGAAAAAAUCAAUUUCUAUCAUCUGGGGCUCUUCUUUAGUCCCCUGUUUCUACUUUAAUUGGAAUACAUGGAGGCAAAUGCAGGAUUAGUUGCCGGAUCUCAUAAGAGGAACGAGUUGGUGAGAAUAAGACAUGAUUCCGAUGGAGGGGUAUGUGUUCUUUCGAUUUUUCUUGAAUACCCUUUUGGAUUUUGAGUGUUCAGAAAUCAAUUUUAUCGACUCUUGUAUAGAUCUAAGUGAUUUAACAGUAGGCUAUUUUGUUUAACCCAAGUUUGUUUAUUUUGUUUGGAUCUGAGUGAUCAGUGUGACCAGUGAGCUCAGUAAUGAGUGAUGAUACGACUUUUGACUUAUUAAUCCUACCUUUUUGUUAAAUCUUCAAAGAGGGUUUUUUGUUAAAUUUGUGGAUUUAGAUCUGAAUCAUCGAGAUGAAAGUUUCUGUUUUCAGCGCCCAUCUUGAUUAAUUUGACAAAAUUUUCAGCUUUAGCACAUGAUGAUUUCUUAAAUUAUUUAAUUUUGAUUGUGACGUUGAGUGUUGAUGAUGCAGCCGAAGCCUUUAAAGAAUAUGAAUGGACAGAUAUGUCAAAUCUGUGGCGACACCGUCGGCCUGACUGAAAACGGCGACGUUUUUGUUGCUUGCAACGAGUGCGCAUUCCCGGUUUGUAGACCCUGCUACGAGUACGAAAGAAGAGACGGAAAUCAAGCAUGCCCUCAAUGCAAAACUCGAUACAAAAGACACAAAGGUUAGUUUUUGAGUUUUUGUUCGUAUCAAGAACACAUCAAACAUAUGAUUUUUGUAAGAAUUAAAGAGAGAUACAAAUGUUUUUAGGGAGUCCCCGAGUUGACGGUGAUGAUGACGAGGACGAUGUUGAUGACCUGGAAAACGAGUUUGAUUAUGCACAAGGGAGACGACAAUGGCAAGGAGAAGAUCCGGAUCUUUCUUCAUCUUCUAGAAGACAUGAAUCACAGCAACCAGUUCCCCUUCUCACUAAUGGCCAACAAGUAAGAAAAUUACUUAUAUACCCUUUUGUUCUAAGCAUUACCUUUUUAACUAAAUUCAGAGUGUUAUUUUCAGGUAUCUGGUGAAAUCCCAAUUGCCACACCGGACAAUCUAUCUGUAAGAAGUACAUCGGGUCCAUUAGGCCCUGGUGACAAGCCUGUCCGCUAUAUGGAUCCAAGACAACCAGGUUACUUUCUUUUUUUUUUUUUUUUUUUUUAAAAAAAAAGUAUUAUUAUUAAUCAGAUAAUGUUGUAGUAAUUAUGCUAAUGAUGCCCUUUUAAUAAAUAGUUCCUGUAAGAAUUGUGGACCCAUCAAAGGAUUUAAAUUCAUAUGGGCUUGGGAAUGUGGACUGGAAGGAAAGGGUAGAAGGCUGGAAACUAAAACAAGACAAAAACAUAAUGCAAAUGGCAAACAGAUACAAUGGCGGUGAAGGGAGAGGAGGUGAGAUUGAAGGCACGGGAUCAAAUGGAGAAGAAUUGCAACUGUAAGUAGUAAACUAAAGGGUACUUUAGGAAUAUCAUAUUUGUCGACUUAUGAUUUGACUUUUUUUUUUUUUUUUUUUUUUUUUUUUUUUUANUUUGUUUUGUUUUUUUUUUUUUUUUUUUUUUUUUUUUUUUUUUUUUUUUUAAAUAUAUAUAGGGUUGAUGAUCCAAGACAAUUAAUGAGCCGUGUGGUGCCUAUUUCAUCUUCUCAUUUGACUCCAUAUCGAGUUGUGAUUAUAUUGCGAUUGAUUAUUUUGGGAUUUUUCUUGCAAUAUCGGUUGACUCAUCCUGUUAAUGAUGCGUAUCCUUUGUGGCUUGUAUCUGUUAUUUGUGAGGUGUGGUUUGCUUUUUCUUGGCUUCUUGAUCAAUUUCCAAAAUGGUCCCCCGUUGAACGUGAGACCUUCCUUGAUCGCCUUGCAUUGAGGUAAGUAAGUAAUGGGAUUUAGAUUUUGGGCUAAUUGCAAGAAAUAGCAAUGUACUUUCAUUUGUAGUCAUCAUCAUGGGCAAUUAGGUAAUUUUAGCUUAAACAAUGAAAAUUUGUUGUUUUGUAGGUUUGAUAGGGAAGGAGAGCCUUCACAAUUGGCACCUAUAGAUGUCUUUGUGAGUACAGUGGAUCCAUUAAAAGAGCCUCCUCUCAUCACUGCAAACACAGUGUUGUCUAUUCUUGCUGUGGAGUAUCCUGUUGACAAAGUCUCCUGCUAUGUAUCUGAUGAUGGAUCUGCUAUGCUUACAUUUGAGUCUCUUUCUGAGACAGCAGAGUUUGCAAAAAAGUGGGUCCCAUUCUGCAAGAAGCAUAGCAUCGAGCCCAGAGCCCCUGAGUUUUAUUUUGCUCAAAAGAUAGAUUACUUGAAGGACAAGAUCCAGCCUUCUUUCGUCAAAGAACGUAGAGCAAUGAAGGUGAGUUUUACCACUUUUAUGUUUUAUGUUUUAUGAUUUCUUCCAGUGUUUUACCAAAUACCUAAAACACCCUUUUAUGGCAGAGAGAAUACGAAGAAUUCAAAGUUCGGGUCAAUGCACUUGUAGCAAAAGCACAAAAGAUGCCGGAAGAAGGCUGGUCUAUGCAGGAUGGAACUCCUUGGCCUGGAAACAACCCCCGUGAUCAUCCUGGAAUGAUUCAGGUAUUUGAAUGAUUGUUUGGUUGCUGAAAAUUUGUAUAUCAACAGUUGAUUGUUGACUUCUCUUGUUUAUGAUGAUUGGAAUUGGAUAGGUGUUCUUGGGGCACAGUGGAGGUUGCGAUACAGAUGGAAAUGAGCUACCUCGUCUUGUUUACGUGUCCCGUGAAAAACGUCCUGGGUUUCAACAUCACAAGAAAGCCGGUGCCAUGAAUGCUUUGGUAUGGAUCUCUUAAAAAAACAUGGAAAUUUUUUGUGUUUAUUGGUUGUUUAUGGAUGCGAUGCAAUUUGGUGUUACAGAUUAGGGUUUCGGCGGUUUUGACGAAUGGCGCGUACCUUUUGAACGUCGAUUGUGAUCACUACUUCAACAACAGCAAAGCUCUAAAAGAAGCCAUGUGUUUCAUGAUGGAUCCUGCCUAUGGAAAGAAGACAUGCUAUGUUCAAUUCCCACAGAGAUUCGACGGGAUUGAUUUACACGAUCGAUAUGCUAAUCGCAAUAUCGUCUUCUUCGAUGUGCUUUUCUGAACUUUACAGAGUCAAACUUAAAAAAAAAAAUUCAAAUUCAAAUUCCGAUCUUGUUGGGAUUUCAAAAAUCAAAAAUUGACAUUUCUAUAUAUAUAUAUUUUGUACAGAUUAACUUGAAAGGGCUGGAUGGGAUUCAGGGGCCGGUUUACGUGGGAACUGGUUGCUGUUUCAAUCGACGAGCUCUGUAUGGAUACGACCCUGUUUUAACAGAGGCUGAUUUAGAACCAAAUAUCAUUGUGAAAAGCUGUUGUGGUUCACGAAAGAAGUCGAGAAACGUUAACAAGAAGUACGUGGAUAAAAAAGCAGUGAUGAAAAGAACGGAAUCCAACACUCCAAUUUUAAACAUGGAUGAUAUCGAUGAGGGUGUUGAAGGUUUGAUUUUGAGUCUUUCACUUUAGUUUGUGGGUCCAGUGAAUCAUUAAUGUUGACUAAAUUCUUUUGUUUUUGAAAGGGUAUGAUGAAGAUAGAUCGUUACUAAUAUCGCAAAAGAGCUUAGAGAAGCGAUUUGGUCAAUCUCCUGUAUUUGUUGCUGCAACUUUCAUGGAGAUGGGAGGAAUUCCCCCCACUACCAAUCCAGCUACCCUUUUGAAGGAAGCAAUACAUGUUAUUAGCUGUGGUUAUGAGGAUAAAACCGAGUGGGGUAAAGAGGUAAUUUUACCCUUCUAGCUUCCGAUUCUUGUUAUACAUGGUCAUCGGAAAAACAAUAAUCUUCAUGUUAUUUUGUUUUGUGUACAAAUGCAAGCAGAUUGGAUGGAUUUAUGGGUCUGUGACAGAAGAUAUUUUAACUGGAUUCAAGAUGCACACAAGAGGAUGGAUCUCAAUAUAUUGCAUGCCACAACGUCCGGCUUUCAAGGGUUCUGCUCCGAUCAAUCUUUCCGAUCGUCUGAACCAGGUCCUCCGGUGGGCUUUAGGUUCAAUCGAGAUUUUACUCAGUAGACAUUGCCCCAUCUGGUAUGGGUAUAAUGGUAAAUUAAAACUCCUGGAGAGGCUCGCAUACAUAAACACCAUCGUCUAUCCCCUCACCUCCAUCCCUCUUCUAGCCUACUGUGUACUUCCGGCCGUCUGCCUUCUCACCGGAAAAUUCAUCAUCCCCGAGGUACGUUAAUCAUGCUUUAUGAGUUGUACGAUAUGCAUGAAUGUUUGUACAUGUUGAAAAUUGGGGGUUUUGCAACAGAUAAGCAACUAUGCUAGUAUGUGGUUUAUUCUUCUCUUUAUCUCCAUCGCUGCAACCGGAAUCUUGGAGCUCCGGUGGAGUGGCGUGAGUAUUGAAGACUGGUGGAGAAACGAACAGUUUUGGGUGAUAGGAGGCACGUCCGCUCAUCUAUUCGCCGUCUUCCAAGGUCUUCUCAAAGUUCUCGCCGGAAUCGACACCAAUUUCACCGUCACAUCCAAGGCAAACGACGAAGACGGUGAUUUUGCAGAACUCUAUAUAUUCAAAUGGACGGCGCUCCUCAUCCCACCCACCAGUGUUCUGAUCGUAAACCUAAUCGGCAUAGUUUCCGGCGUUUCAUCUGCAAUCAACAGCGGUUACCAGUCGUGGGGCCCACUUUUUGGGAAACUGUUUUUUGCAAUCUGGGUUAUCGUCCAUUUAUACCCGUUUCUCAAAGGUCUGUUGGGUCGGCAAAAUCGAACCCCCACCAUUGUUAUCGUGUGGUCGAUUCUGCUUGCUUCGAUUUUCUCCCUUUUGUGGGUUCGUAUCGACCCCUUUACCACAGACGAUACUCUUGAUGCAGUUAAAGGACAAUGCGGGAUCGAUUGUUAGGUAUAUAUAUAUAAAGUUUCUGAUUUGCAAAUUUGUGUAAGCCGUGAUGUGAUGCGAUGUGAUGUGUACGAAUGAUAUAAUUAUUUGAUUUAUUGUUGUUAUCCCACGAAUUCAAUGAAAAAUUUAAGUAUAACCUUAUCUUAAUAUGUCGGUUCAUUACAUUCAAUUAAGUUGAGUUGUAUGCAAAUUUCUUGUUAUUAUACAGUAUAUUACAAAAUUCAAACACUAUCUUCUUCAUAUUUAAUUUCAUGAAUUUAGUCUUCAACAAGUACAUAUAUAUAAAACAAAACAUGAAAUUCCAUACACACCAAGGUUCAUGUCAGAUCCUGAAACAAAAGAUUAAAGAAAAUAAAGUUAGAUGGUUGUAAAUUGUAACCUAAUGAAAUAUAAGAAAAGUUGGGGUUUUACUUACUCAAUAUAUUCAACGUUGAUUUUCUCCCUUUGAGACUUGGAAAUGGCAGAAAAAGCAUCAUUUGACAAAACAAUAGUCGAAGGACACGGCCUUUUGGAACAAAAAUCUACCACCUUAACAUCAAUGGUACCAUCUCUACAUGGUUUAUUAUUUCCACUCAAACACUUGAGUCUGUAUCGCCUACCACAUGCUGCACCGUUAUCCCAUAGUCCUUCGCUCACUGACACAAAUAAGUUCCCCAAUGGGAAUUGAUCUGCUCGGUUGCCAUUGCACCUUGUGGCUACAUUAAAAAUACAUAUAAAAAAAAAUACUUCAAUUUAACUAUUAUUUAUUUAUUUAUUUACAAUGUCAAAAACAUAAUAAUUAGAAUCAUAUUUAAACUUACGUGUAUAAGGAGGCUCAUAGGAUGAGGCAGUGCCAAUUUCACUCAAACCACACUUGAUGUUAUUGAAGAUUAACAAUAAAAAUAAAUUCACAAUCACUCCAAUUCCCAUCGCUACAAAUUCCCUUUUCUUUUUUCUCUCUCUCUGUCAAAUACUAUGGUAGUAAGAUGCACCCCCUUGGAUUAUAUAUAGAUAUCGUAUGGAUUUAUUUAAAAGAUAUAGGUAUAGUUUGAGAUAUAUUGUCACGUGUUUUUUAAUAGAAAUGUGCUUAGCAUGUAUAUAGAAUGAAUGAAAAGUUGGUGAUCAAAUUGGAUAAACUAUAGAUGUUUAAUGUGAUAUAUAUCUACCUUUGCGCAUGAAAAAUGGAUUUAAUAGGUUUUGGUCAAUUGUGAUAUAAAGUUCUUGAUGCCUACCACUAAUUAGUUUAAGGAAAGAUGGUUUCUAACGUAAACAUAAAACAACUUUUCUAUCGUCUCUUUUAAACAGAAAAAAUAGUCAAUUUUGACAAUGGCACAAAAAGGCAAUGGAAAAGCAUAUGUAAGGAUUAUUAGAUAAAACGAUAGUGUUUUAAUGGAGAAAAAUUAUAUUUUCGGUGAAUUUUUUUUAGUUGAUAAACCCAUUGUUGGUGUCGAAUCUAUGAAAUUAUUUUGGCUUAUACGUCGGCUGACCGAUAUGAUUACCAAAGAAAGGUGCAUCCAGUACAAUCACCACUAACUAAAACCAAUGGCUCUAAACUGUUCGCAAUUUUUUAAGGAAGGGAAAUUCAUAUUUGAAUUCGUCACUACAAAGUGUUACAUGAUUCGUUAUUAAUAAAUAUUUUAUAUUACCUUUUAUCAUAUAAAUAAACAAUCCAAAUUUUAUUUUUAGAUGCAUAUUUCACAAAGCUUUUGUGUUUUUUUCGGUUCAAGUUUGUGUUAAAGUAAUUCAAUAUAGAUGGAGAAUGUCGUUCAAUAAAAGUAGUUUGUGUUAAAGUAAUUCUAUACAGAUGGAAAAUGAUGUUCAAUAAAAGUUUAGAAUAUCAGAUAAUCAAAAUUAGUUUGUCGAUAAGAUUUAUUAUUUUAAAAGAUGGGAUAUAUAUACUAAACUCUCAAUAUUUUUAACGAUUCAACAAAAAAGUCUUAAAUUUUAUUUUUUUAGAGUAAAAUCCUAACUAGCGGCAGUUUUUGACAUGUUUACCAUUUUUUGCCAGUUAGCCAGUAAUUAUGGUUUUACUAUAAAAAAAUAAAAUUUAUGACUUUCUUUUUCAAAUCGUGAAUUAAGACAUUACUGUAAAAAAAAAUUAAAGUUUAGGACUUUCUUAUCAAAUCGUUAAAAAUAUAGGGACUUUAGUGUAUAUAUCCAUUUUUUUGUUAGAAAUUUAAUGUCAUUAUAAUCUUUAAGUAUAAGAGUUAUUGAAAUCUGACCAAUAUGCUCUGGUCAACUAGAUUCUAUUAAAAUCAUUAACGUUUGAUUCUUGUUAAAUAGUUUUUUUUUAAUCUCAACAAAUCGACAUUGAAAAAAAUAAAGAUAAUCAAGAAAGAAAGAACCACGAUUGUGUUGAAUUUUUGCAUAAUGAUAAUCAAGAAAGAAAGAACCAGUAUCGUGUUGAGUUUUUUGCAAUCCUAAAAAUGGAGAAUUAAGAAACCGGAAAAGAAGAAAUUGUCCUUCUUACACAUUCUCCACAUUCACACAUUUUUUACCGGACAUGUGUUGUUUGUGUUUGUUGAAUUUGUUCCUCUUUUCAGUUCAAGAUUUGACGGCGAACCAAGAAAAAAGUUUUACAAGUCUUCUUACCCUCUAUCGUUCUCUCUUUUGCAUCAGUUUCCCAGAUUGUGAUCGUAGCAAAGUAAGAUGAUGAUGGUAAGAAAAAACAAUGGUGUUGCAAUAAAAAUCACAAUUAAAAGUUCUUGGGAUAGGAAUUAGGUCUCAUGAGACUGAUAAAAUUAUUUGUUUCUAGGGAAACCAAACCUAUACACUAAAGUCUCAAUAUUUUUAACGAUUUAACAAAAAAGUCAUAAACUUUAUUUUUUUGACAGUAAAACCCUAAUUACCGGCUAACCGGCAAAAAAGAGUAAAUGUUUCAAAAACUGUCGAUAAUUAGGAUUUUACUGUCAAUUGAUUUUAAUAUUUUCAUGCAAAAGACAACUGUAUUACGAAAGAAAUAACUGUUAACCGUAACUACAAUAAGGUAUUAAAGUUAUAGAAGUUUCAAUCCUAAUAACGCAUAAUUUUCACUUUUGGUUUAAUAUGUUUAUAUUAUUUAUCUAAAAAACAAAAUCAUAAUAAAUAUAUUUUGAUUAAAUGUCACAGAAAAACCACGCCCAUGUCAAUUUUGAUUGUUACAAAAUGACAAUUUUUUUGAAAAGAGAUAUCAUACCGUAUUAAUAAGGUGGUGUUUGUUUUUUUUUCAAAAGCUCUUCUAGACCUUUUAUGUCUGCAUCGCGUAGACGACCCACAAACUUUUAGUCCUAUAGACUGUUUGUUUUUUAGAAGACCGUACGCAUAAAAAAAUCUGUCCAUCCUCUUCUUGACGUAGAUGUGAACAUAUGUCUUCUAGUCUCUUUCUUAAUCUUUCCACUAAUCUUAAGAGACAAUAAAAAAGCGCAAAAAGAAUAAAAAAAUGAAAAAAAAAACCUAUCAAACCUCAUUCGUGCACCUUUUUUUUUAAUUCAUUUGCCAUGUAAACACUUUGUAAAUAUAUUAUUUUAAUGAUUUUAGCUUUAUAAACUUUAUUUGGUCAAAUAAUUUUUUGGUAUUCAUAUUUUAAAAAACUUUAUGCAUAUUUAUCCGAUGACUUUUUAUAACAGUAAUUAAAAAAGUUAAAUAUACUACAAAACUUAUGAAAGUAUUUUACGAACGUGUUUUUUUUCUUCAUAAAAUGGACAAUUAAUUUGUUAUAUAUAUAUAUAUAUGCUUAUUAUAUGAUAACUAGGCUCGUGCGUGUGAACAAGUCUCCGUUUGCCACCUAGCACGGUAUCUNNNNNNNNNNNNNNNNNNNNNNNNNNNNNNNNNNNNNNNNNNNNNNNNNNNNNNNNNNNNNNNNNNNNNNNNNNNNNNNNNNNNNNNNNNNNNNNNNNNNNNNNNNNNNNNNNNNNAUAUAUAUAUAUAUAUUGAAAAUAAGGUGGUUGUAUUAUUAAAUUACAAUGUUUUUAUAUAAGAAAUAUUGAAAAAGUCUUUUAAAUUAAAAAAAAAAUCAAUUUAUUUAGGUUUUAAUUUAUUUUAGCAGUUUGUAGAUUUUAAAAAACAAACAGUCUUCUUGCAGACUGCAGACGUUUGGUCCAUAUCUUCUACUGCAGAUGUCGUCCGCAGACUGCAGACAUUUUGCUUCUGAAAAACAAACACCAUCUAAGUUUCAAACGCAUAAACAUUUAUUAACAAAAGACAUGUAAACGUGGAUUAUGAACUAAUGACAUAGAUAUACGAUAAGUACUAUAAAGAGGAAAAAGCAUAGUUAAGAUUGACCCAAAUUGUAAUGAUUAUAGUCUUGCUAAUGUAAAUAUUUAAUUAGUUUUUCUUGAUAAUCAUGAUAAAUGAUACUUUUUGACUCAUGAGUGAUGAAUAAACAAUAGUAUAUAUAGAUUUACUAAGACGAAAAAAGACAUGAGUUUUAAUGAUAGAAUAUUAUUGAAAAAAUAAUAAAGAAUAUGAUCAACUUUAAAUUAGUGCCCGGAUAAAAUCGAAGUUUUAGAAAGUGCUGAUUAGUGGCGAUCCUUCAUUUUUUUAUAACUUUAUUUCAAAUUAAUGGUAAUCAUGUAUAAUAAUUAAUAAACUUACAAUACGCUAAUAUACAUUACAAUCAUUUUCAUCCUAUGUGAAAAUAAUUUUUGACAUAUUAUUCGUUUUCAAAUUAUAUAGAUGCAUAGGCAAUAAUAUGUCUUUUAUGUGAAAUAAUGUGUGUUUUUUUUAUGUGAAAACAUGUUUUUUAUAUAUAAAAAUAUAUUUUCACAUAAAAAAAACCUGUUAUGCAAAAAACCUUUUGGACCAAAUUUAUAUAGAAACAUAUUUUUCACAUAUAAAAACCUUUUUAUAACAAAAAUGUUUUGUAAAAAAGGUUUUUAGUAUAAAUAUGAUUUUAUAAAGCAAAAAUAACAUAUUUCGAAACAAAAUUUUGGAAAAAUAUAUGUAAAAAAAACAAAAUUUAAGAUGAAAUUGUAACAAAAUUUUAAAAUAGGGACAAAAAUAUAAAAAUUGGACCAAAUUUAUAACAAAAUUUAAAAUCUGAGAAAAAAAUGUAAAUUUUAAAACUGGGAUGACCUUAUAGCCGGGAAAAAUGAUGAAAAUGAAUAUAUUUACCUGUAUUCGUAUCUUAAUUAAAAAAAUAAUAAUUUAAAUACUUAAUUGAAUAUAAGGUUAAAAAUAUAAACACUUUAUAGAUUUUCCUAUACUAAAUACUAUAGCAAAAUAUGUGGAAUUUGGUAUUUAGUAACUUUGGUCUCACUUUUGUUAAAUUUCUAUUUUCUAUCAUUUUACUUUUUGAAAAUUCGUUUUUACCUCUCGAUUUUUCUACUUAUUAACUUUGGUCCAUCACUUUUGUUAAGUUCUCAAAUUUUCAUCCUUUUUACUUUUGAAAUUGUUGCUUUUACCCCCUUUAACUUUCAACUUUCUAGAUACUCAACUCACUCAGCAUGAAGUAUAAGAAAAAAGAGAAGAGAGAGAGAGAGAGAGAGAGAGGAAGCAGCGGGCUGAAGAACCCACAUGAGACGUCUUCUGGCGGUAACCACCAAGGCGUGGAUUUGUUACCCUAGCCGUCGCACGACUCCGUGCACCCUUGGAGAGUAAUCAGUGUUAAAACACUAAGUUGCUUGAAAUAAGGAAUUUGAAGUUAAAUUGAAAAUUUAAAUGUAGAUACGAAAACACAUCAUCUUGCUAACUUGACAACUUAACGCCAUCUUAAGUGGAUACCAUAGAAUGACCCACGAGUGGCGAAUUUAAAAAAAGAAUCACAUGGUUCCUAAUUAAGUGAAGCCAAUAAAAAAAAUCAACAAUACUUUUGGAGUCGGGUCAGGUCGGCUCAUGUACCUUAAAAGAACUGAACAAGUUCAAUCGGCUCAUGUACCUUGUAACGACCCGUCUCUGGUAUGUUGUUUCCAUGUUAUUUAUUUAGAAGUUUUCAAGAGGGACUCGGGGAGUCUAUAGCCCGACUCGUCGAGUAGAGACGGGAUUUCGAGCACGUGUAAGUCGCCGACUCAACGAGUCCAUAUUCGAGACUCGGCGAGUCCGCCUGCUAGGAAGAAACCCUAAAUCCCCGGGUUUGCUCACUAUUUAAGCAAUGUUAUGUGCCCCAAACUCGCCUCCUUCACCCUCAGAGAGCUUGAGAGAAACCCUAAACCAUUCCUUGUAUGACUAAAGUGUUUUGUGUGGAUUCUUGAAGGAAAAAGAAGAAAGGACCCAAAAAGAGGAAGUGUAGAGCAAAGAUCCAAGGCCAAAGUCAGAGUUCAUUGAGGUAUGUCUCGGAAUUAUUCUGUUUUGUGCUUAAAACCUCCAUUAGAACACCUCUAAGGCUAGUUUAAUGUAUUUUCCAAGCUUUAUAGUUGUAUGGAUGCCUUGUUGGGUCGAGAUAUCCCUAGAUCUGUUCAUUUAGGAGUUUUAGAGCCCUGAUCUAGUGCCUUUUCGAAGUUUCUUUGCUUGAGAACCCUAGAUCUAGCCUUUAUUAUGCUUUUUGAGCCUUUUAAUCUUCAUGGGUGCAUAUGGGCACGUAAAGAUAGAAUCUUUACGUGUUAAUCGAGCUUAGGGAGCCCAGAUCUAUAAGUUUUAUGCGUUGGAUUCAAGCAGAAUCGAGUUUAUAGUAGCUGCAUGCAUGCGACUCGGCGAGUCGUUCUUCCGACUCGGUGAGUCGAGUCGUGAGUCCCCGAUUUUUCCUCUUUUGAGUAAUGCCGAGUGGGGACCAGUGAGUAGUAGAGUGGACUUAGUGAGCUGGAGGUCAGACUCAGUAAUGGAGGGACUCGACGAGUUGUUCAUACAACUCGGCGAGUCCAAGGCAAUCUUCUUAGCUCAAGAACAACUCGUCGAGUUGUUCAUACGACUCGGCGAGUCGGAUGCAGAUAGCUUGAGUUCUAGAAUCGAAAGGAAACUCGUCGAGUUUAUGCCAUACUCGACGAGUAGCAGCGAGUAGGGUUGAGAAGUGAGAAUAGGGACUAGGCGAGUUGGCGGCCCAACUCGGCGAGUCAGGUCAACUGUAGGUUGACUUUGACCAGGAGAGUUGACUUUGACCAGGGGUAAAAGAAUCAUUUUACCCCAAUACAGUGAUUAGUAUUUGAUUGAGUGUGUUUAUGGAAUUGUAGCCGGAGAGAUACCAGAGCAGCAGCAGAUAGCUUCCAGAGCCAUACAUUCAGCAGCCAGUUUACGAGGUGAGUUUCCUACCAGUAGGAACGGGUCUACGACAACAAUGCCGGCCCGUUUAGCUAGCAGUUAGUUCCGGACUUCGGUCCGAAGCAGUAGUUCAAGGUGCUUGAUGUUGUGUUUCGGGCAUGUCUAUGUGUUAUGUUAGCAGAUACGUGUUUAUGUUAUGCUAUGUUCAGACAGUUCCGGAUUUCGGUCCGAUGCAGCUAGUUCCGGACUCCGGUCCGAUGCAGGGGACAAGGUCCCAGUCAGUUCCGGAUUUCGGUCCGAUGCAGACAGUUUCGGACUUCGGUCCGAUGCAGUCAAUUCCAGACUUCGGUCCGAUGCAGUGGGCAAGGCCCAGUAUGUGCUUUAUUUGUUAUUGUGUGGUAUGCGGUAGUUUAGGGGAGCUCACUAAGCUUCGUGCUUACAGUUUCAGUUUUGGUUUCAGGUACUUCCGCAAGUAAAGGGAAGAACUCGGGAUGAUGCAUCGCACACACCACAACUUCAGUUUUUGUCGUGGGAGUUGAUUCAGUUUCUUAGAUAUGUUUUGAUACUGUUGUGACACAUUUUUUCUCACAGUAUUUUAUUAUGUGAUACUCAGUUUUAUGAUCUUUGUUAUAAUAUAAAUGAAAUUAUCGGGUCGUAUUUUUGGGAUGUUUCAAGUACCUUGUGCCACCGAUUAAAAAAAUUUUAAAAACCGAUUGAAAUAUAACUGAAAAAGACAUACAGCUUAACGAAAAACUAGUUGAUUAUUAGUCCAUUGAUAAAGCGGCGAACGCAGAGUGAGAGUCUUUGGCAUGUGGGCUUUCAUUUUAUUAGAACAACUUGUUUAUUUAUUAAUAUUUUGAGAGUGCCGAUUAAGAGUAGUUAACUUUUUAUUAUCAAUCUCAUAAUUUAAAAUAACAAAUUGUCCCUAAUAACUUAUAUUUUUCUCUUUUUAAAGUGGUUUUUUUUUUUAAAAAUAAAAAUAAAAAUAAACUCAAUGUAGGUUCUCUAUUUUUUUAAGACUAAAUUACACAGAUGGUCCCUGUGGUUGGCACGAGAGACCAAAGAUAGUCCUUAUGAGGAAUUUUGGACUUGUAUGGUCCCCGUGGUUCCAAAUUGUUGCACGAAGAGUCCUUAUGACAUACUCCGUUUAAUUGUUGUCGUUUAUUUAAAUCACGUAACCCUCACACGAGGGUAUUUUGGUCUUUUGCUUAUCCCUUCUCUCUCUCAUAUCUUUAUAUGAUCUGCAAAAGAUUUCCCUUCCCUAUAAAAAUUAAACCCCCAUCACUUCCUUCAUUAUUUUUCGUCUCCUCUAUUCUCUCUUCUCUCUUCUCUCUGCUGUGUCUUUCUAAGAAACUUUGCUUAAGAAUGGUAAAUUGUUUUUGUGGAACGCAAGCGGUGAUAGUGACAUCAUGGAUGGAUCUCAACCCAGGUUGUAUGUUUUGGAAAUGUCCUAGCAGUUGCGGUUUCAUUGCCUGGUUUGAUGAGCCGAUGUGUCGAAGGGUUGUGGCUGUCAUUCCAGGUUUGCUAAGAUCCAUGAACAAGCUUCAAGAAUCUCUGCUGCAAGCAAGUUUUGAAGCAAAAAAAGUGAAGAUGAUGCUAGUUUUUAGUUGGGUUUUCUUUUUCAUGUAUGUGUAUAAAAGAUGCUAAUAGUAUUAGUCUGGAGAUGAUGGUUCUUUUGCUUGUGGGUAGAUGAUGGUUCUUUUGCUUGUGGUUAGAAUCAGAUAAUAGUAUUAAUUUGAAGAUGAUUUCGUUUUGUUUGUUUGUGAUGCAAGAAAUGUUCGUAUGUAUGAAUGGAAUGCUUUUUAUUUGGGAAACUUUUAGUCUGCUACCAUUGUAAAAUAUUGGUCAGGAACUUAAUGAGUGUAAAAUAUUGGUCUGCAACUUAAUGAACCGUGCAGAUCCAUUAAAGUAUAAAAUAUGAAAGUGAAAGGUUUUUGUAGGCUUUAGACCAUUGUAGAGCCAUAACAACAUUAGAAAUGUUCAAAAAUAAAAUGCAAACUUUUGCAUAGUCAUAAAGUUCAUUACAUAACCUUAAAGUGCAAAGUCAUAAUACCAAAAAAAUAUCAAAAGAGCUUGCAGACUAAUGUAUCAUAACCAAAAGAACCAUCUUAGUCUAGCACCCUGUGUGAACCAUAAUACCAACAAAAGAUAAAGACACACAAUAACCAACUUAGUCUGACCUUUCUAAGGUACCAAAACAAACAACACAAAAGACCUUUCUAAGGUUCCAUAACAAACAACACAAAAGACAACAAAUCAAACUUUUUCCUUCAUUUUGGAUUUAUCCUUAAGUUUGGUUUUCUCCUUCAUUUUGGGUUUCUCCUUUUUUCCAUCUCCCUGCUUCUUUGCCUUGCUAAGCUUCUUGCCCCCUGCCACCACAUUUCUAACUUCAGUUUGUCCCCCUUGUCCCUUGCAACUCCUAGAGUUGUGACCCUUGUUAUUGCAUUUGCUACAAGUAACUGUAAGGAACUUCUUGGUCAAACUUUUACCUUGAUUAUUUGGUUCUUCAGUUUGAGCUCUCUUUCUCUUCUUUUUUGGUCUCCCCACCUGCAUAAUUAAUAAAUUAUAAAACAGUAUAAACGUAUACUAACUUGUAAAUUGAAAAUUAUUUACCUGUUUAGUAUGCUUAGGAGGUGUUAGUGUUAUGGGGAAAUCUGACUUUGGCCACAUACUUCUUCCAUUGAUAGGUUGAACUUUGUACUUGUACAUUUCAUUCCAUGUGCUUAACCUAUAACAUGGAUGUACCCACUCCUCAAGAGGUGGGACAUUUUUUCCCAGUGCCUGCAACUACAAUUCCUGUCCCUCCAAUUAACCACAAAUUGUUCCCCCAUUGUCCCAGUAACUUGAGUCUUAUCAGCACCAUUAAAUAUGCAAGUGUAUUGAGAAGCAUCUUUCUUAACUCCAUCUAAAAGUUUUGUGGCUGGGGGGGGGAGAGGGGCNUUAUCUAUCACAUUUUGCACAAUACAAAUUCGUUUCAUUAAGUAUUCCCUAAUAUAUUCUAAACAUGUAAUUAUAGGUUUGUCUCGAGCAUCUAACAACUUUGAGAUGAAAACUUCACAUAAAUUAUUCAACAAAAUAUCUGUAUGUGCUCUUCCUGUACAAUGCAACAAAAUAUCUUAUAAGAAUCUGUCAAAGUGUAAAUCUUCCUUGAAUCUGUCAAAGUGUCUAACUGUUGUUGCUGUUGCACAUUCCCAUAAAUGAUCUCUGUGCUCCUUCCCCCUCCAUUGUAGCUUCAUGUUUUCGUGAAUAUGUCUUAAACAGAACCUGUGUUCAGCGCUAGGUAAUAGGUUGGCAAUGGCAGAUAAAAUCCCCUAAUUAACAAGUAACAAAAAUGUUAUUUUCUAAAUGUAGUAGACAAAAUUACAAAGAUGUCAUGAACAAGUAUCAUAAGAAGAUUAACCUUUUGCCUGUCAGAAAUAAAUGUGAAGUUUGAAUUUGUAGAGAGCUCCAAAUCUUCACCUAGACACUCUAGAAACCAACUCCAUGAGCUUUUGUUCUCGGCUUCAACUAUGGCAUAUGCUAGUGGGUAGAUCCGAUUAUUGGAAUCAAGACCCACAACAGUGAGAACCUAUCCAGUGUAAGGUCCCUUCAUGAAAGCCCCAUCGAAACCUAAAAAAUCUCUUAAACCUGCCUUAAAACCCAGUUUUAAUGCACCUAAACAGACAUAAAUUCUCUUAAACAUCCUAGUUUCCAAGUCUGCAUUUGGUUCACUGUAUACAUCAAUCUUCACAAUUGUUCCUGGGUUGCACUGUUGUAAUUCUAAUACGUAAUCCCUGAGAAGGCUGUAUUGCUUUUGAUAAUCUCCAUAAACAUGUUUCUGUGCAAGUUGUUUAGCCCUAAAGACCUUCAUUCUUGACAUCCCCACCUCGUAUAUCUUUUGUAACUCUACACACAAAGCUUUGACUGGGAUAGUUGGGUUUCCUUCCACUUCUUGAAGAAUGAUGGUUGUAAGAAACUUAGGCCUCAUUUGAUAGUUGCCGAUUGAGAAAGUGCUGACUGAGAAAGGUCUGUCUGGGUAAGAAAUCCUGAUUGGGUAAGAAAUCCUGUUGUUUGAUUGUACAUCUGACUGAAUGUGCUGAGUGAUGAAAAAUGACCAUUUUACCCUGCUGUUAUAUAUAUAUAUUGAUGGAUUAAAUUGCUGAAUAAUUAUAAAAACAUACAUAUUGUCAUACAAAAUGUAAAUUACACACAAAUAAAAAAUGUCAUACAAAAUGUAAAUUAAACAUAAAUCAUUUAAUAUCCAAAUAAAAACAUAAUGAAAUUUAAAAUAACAUAAUAAUUUAAUGUAAAGUAGGUGAAAGUAGUCGAUUUGCAAUCUGAUCACGCAAAACACGCAUAUAUUCAACGGCUUCUGGACCCCAUUCUAUGCCUUGUAUGUUUUCUCUAUCAAUUCCCCCACCUUGGACGUCAGGAGUAACCAUAGUGUCCUCCUCAAAAUUUCUAAACAAGUCAUCUUCUAUAUUGUAUUUCCUUAUAAAAUUAUGGACCGCGACACAAGCAAUGACUAUGUCUCUUUGCACUGUAAAAGGAUAAGGAGCCAUUUGUUUUAAGAUUGGGAAUCUCGCCUUCAAUACACCAUAAGCACGCUCAAUAACAUUUCUAAGUUGUGCAUGAGCAUGAUUGAACCUUUCUUCUCUAGUUAAAGGUCUGCCUCUUCGAAAAUCGGCUAACCAAUACCUAGUAUUGCGGUAUGGAGCCAUAAACCCACGAGUGUUUGUAUAUGCGGCAUCACAAAGGUAAUAUUUAUCUGCAAACGAAUGUGACAUAUUAUAUAAUGACACAUAUUAUAUAAAGAAGAUAGAUAAUAAAAAUUAUAUAAAGAUUACAAACCUGGUGGAGGAAAUGGAAAUCCAGAAGUCGAAUUGAAUGCAACUUCUUUCAAAACUCUUGAAUCAUGUGCUAUACCCUCCCAUCCAGCCCAAACAAAGGUGAAUAUCAUAUCAAAAUCACAAAUUCCUAUUACAUUUUGAAAACAUUCUCCUUUUCCUCUUCCUCAAUAACGAGUUUGUUGAUCAACAGGUACAACCGCACGUACAAGAGUUCCAUCUAAUGCACCAAUUGCUCCGGAAAAAAUAUUUUUUAACCGUCUAUGUCGUUCUGAGUUAUGUCUUGUUGGGUUAGGAGUUGUUGGUACUAUAAUUUCUUUUGCAAAACACAUCAUUGCUGUUAGGACCUCGUGAAAACAUUGAUGAAUCGUUUGUGUGGAGUGAUGAAAUCUUCCCUUAACCGCGCGAAAACGUUCAUUAUGUCCUAUAACAUGUAAGAAGAUAGCCAUCUUCUCUUCAAUGCUUAUUGUCCUACUAGCUUGCAACCAAUUUUUUUGGGUAAAAUGGUUGCAUAGUAAUGCAAAUGCCUCUUGUGUAAGACGCAUCAUAUCGAAACAUUGUGUAGGGUCUCCGUAUAUCAAAUCUUAUGUAUACGCAUACCCGCUUGAAUCGUUAUCUCUAAUUCUAAGAAUUCUGAUUAGUCUGCGCCGGUUUGACCUCAACCAAUAAAACACAAGUAAAAGAAAAGCUACAACUUCACCAUCAGAAACCAUACUUGAUCUAUUACAAACAAUUAGGUAAUAUGUUAAAGUAAAAAAAAAAUCAUGCACCAAAAAAAUUAGUAAACAUCAUUAAAAGUAACAAAAGUCGUAUAACAAACGUUGUAUAACAAAAUACUAGUAAACAUCAUCCAAAAAAGUCAUCAAACUAUAUAACAGUAAACCAAAAAGUCAUCAAACAUAGGAUCCAAAAAACUAGUAAACAUCAUCCAAAAAAAGUCAUCAAACAUAGGAUCCAAAAAACUAGUAAACAUCAUAAAAAAAACUAGUAUCCAAACUUUUCUACCCGCACCUAUCAAAGGUAACUAUACUUCCUACCCGCACCCAUCACCCACGACUCACAACUACUAUGCGAAAGUCGUAACCAAACUUUUCGAACAUCAGCACUUUCACCAAAUAGCAAAAGAGCGGUCUUGUGUCUUUCAUCUUCUUCUCCCCAUUCCAUUUUGUUCAAUUUCUCCAUACACGCAUCAACAUCCUUAUCCAUUUCACUUUUUUCAAUUCUUUCAUUUUUUUUCCACUAAUAACCUUACAAUCUUGACAAUCUCCUCUUCAACUUCUAAUGCCCUUGCAUCUCUUUUUUUUCCACCAACUCUUUUGUUUCCACCAACUUCCUUAUUUUUGAACGCCCCGAAGAUUCUUCACUUGCACCUACGUGUUGUGUUGAGGUUUCCAUUAGAACAUCAUCAUCAAAAUCAUGGGGACUAAACUCUUCUACAGGACAAGGGAGUGUAGAAGAUGGCCCCCAACUUUGAGAUCCGGUUGAUGUCAACCCUUCAAAUAGUUGGGUGCAAAGAUCAGGGAACAAUAGGGGUUUAGUUUUCAAUGACAACACGAACUUGUUCAACUGUUUACAAUUUUUAUAAAUAUUAGUAUAUGUUAUAAAAAUAAUCAUAAUAGUAUUGAUUAAAAAAAUAAAUUUAAUCAAAUAGUAUAUGUUAUAAAAAUAAUCAUAAUAGUAUUGAUUAAAAAAAUAUUACCUUCCCCUCUUCUUUCCAUUGUUCAUCGGUCAAAUUAAAUUUAUUUUUUAUAGGAUCAUAUAUAUUGCCGGUUUUGUUUUUGAGUUUCACCCAAGCAACAUACUUUGAUUUGUAGUAGUCAAAGUGGUUUCUCAUUUGCUUCUGAUCAACCUCUUUACCGUGUUCGUUUAUCAAUUUUUCGCGUAUUGUCUUCCAUGAACUUGCCUUAAGCCCAGAACCCUCACGACCAUUAGUGGUUAGUUCAUGGAUACAUGCAUCAAGAAAAGUUUUGUCCUCACUCUCGUUCCAAACCAACAUCCUAAAACAUUAAUAUUUAAAGUAAUUUAUCAUAGUUUUUAUCAAGUUAAAGAACAAUUUUAAACAUAAAGCAAUUUUCAACCAAGGAAGUUAACAUCAUCCUAAAUUAUGAUUUGAUAACUUAUACACAAACAAUUUCAGAUGUCACAAAACAUCAAUAUUCAAGCUAACAAUUUCACAAAAGAUAACAAGCUAACAAUUAAGGUCAACAAUAUCAAAGCUAUAAAAUUAGAAAGAAAAAAAAAACAGCCCAAUUUUUGAUUUUAUAGCUUAUACUUUUGAUACUAAUACAAGCUCAAUAAUUGGAAGACAUGUGAUGUUGCAUGCAUUCCCCCUCUCGCCCACUCUUCAAGGAACAAUUGGAUUAUUAAAAAAGUUAGGUUACCAUUAAUCUUAUAAUAAUUAUUUAUUAUUAAUUUUACUUUUGUACUUUACACAUAAAAACACAACNAAAACCAAAAAAAUAAAAAAAAAAAAAAAAAAAAAAAAACAGCCCAAUUUUUGAUUUACAAACCUACUUGUAUUUUCCAAUUCACAUUCAAUUUCAAUUCACAAGCUAUAAAAUCAAAAUUCAAAAAAAAAACCUUCCAAUUCACUUUCAAUUUCAAUUCAUAAGCUAUAAAAUAUGAACCGGAGAAAAAAACUUCCAAUGUGAAUUGGAGAAAAAAACUUCAAAUUCAGAAAAAAAAACAAAAAAACAAAAACAAAAAACAACUACCAAUUCACAUUCUAUUUUAGAAUUCAUAACAUUAGAAAAAAAAACCUUCAAUUUUCAGUUCUUAUACACAAAGAACUACAAAACAAAACAUAAACAAACUUCCAAUUCACAUAUAAUUUCGAAAUUCAUAUAUUAGAACAAACAAUUUCAGAUUUCAGUUCUUGUACACAAAGAACUACAAAAAAGAACAAAAAAAGCUUAUCAUAUGAACAUACAGGUUGAGAAUUCAUAAUAUUCUAACAUAUACUAAUUUGAUUUCAUAAAGAACUACAAAUUUCAUACCAUCAAAGCAUAAAUGGUAUCUGAUUUUGAAAAUUAUUAACAGAAAAAUUAUCUAACCUGUGUGAUGGAUCGAGAAGGCGUCACUGAUGGCGGUGGCGGAGGUCCGACGAGAUGGCACAGGUCCGACUGGUCGGACUGUUUGGCGUUCAAUGUUGUGGAGUUCUUCCUAGCGGCUGCUGUGCUUUUAGGUCACUAGAAGGGAAGCGAAUGGGGAAAGAAAUAAUAACGACGCAGGGGCAAGAUAAGGGCAAGAUUGUCUAAUUUCCAGUCAGCAACUGUUUAAAAACUGAUCCAGAAAGCGAUUUGGGUCAGCAGAUCUUACCGAGAAAGCUCAAAUCAAACACCAAAGGUCUGACCGAGUCAGCCCAAUUUGCUGACUCGACCCAGUCAGACAUUUAUCAAACACUCCCUUAGAAGUGCACUCUUUAAUAGACCUUGACUGCACACAUCUAUGCUCAUGAACCAAAGUUUUCACCAUCCAAUCGCUUUCUUCAUCAGAUCUAGAAAUUAAUACCACCCAAGGGCAUGUUGCUUUUUGUGAGCUGACUGUUUUAUCCUUGCAUUUGAUUCUACUUUUUGUCCAUGGCCCACCUGUCAUUUUCGGGACCACACCCCUGCAUUUUGCCCUAAUUCUUUUUUUUUUAUCAUUUUUUGAAAAGUAAAUGUUUCUCCUAGUUCGAAUUGAAUGCAUUUUAAUGUAGUCCUUCACUUCUGAUGAGGACUUAAAUAUUUGACCCAGAUGGAAUGCAGUUUCAUGUACUACUCCUGAUGAACAUGUGGUUGGUUUGUUUAACCUUCUCAUUAAUUUCUUCCUCUCAUCUUCUUCUACACCAGUUGAUUCAAAUAAUUGUGUAUCUAUCACCUCCAAAUCCUCAUCAACUGUGACAUCAGGUGCAUUGAAUGAUUGGUGGUUAUCUAGAUUUGGAAAAGAAUAAACACCACUGUGGAAGUCUUUCAUAUUCACUUCGACAUCCUCCACCAUAUUAAGUUCAUCCACUAAAAAGUCACUAUCGUCGCUUAUACUUCCAUCGGUACUAGUCUCAUCACUAAUAACAUCUCCAAUUUCUUCAUUUUCCCCCAUCUGUUGGUAAUCAUUAUGAUCCAUAUAAAAGAAAGGAUCAAAGUCUUCUGAAGGGACAACAUCUUGGGCUUUGUUAAGCUCCUCACUUGCAGGAUGAACUCGAACAUCUUUCACUACAUCUCUAUCAAAAUGUCCAAAAGGUACAACAGACCUAGAAAAGUCAUAGUUCUCAUUCAAGUCCAUUUUUCUACUACAUGAUCCUACCUUUGUACUUGUAAACUUUUUUCGAUUGAGUUCCGGAGAAAUAGGCUCAUUGAUUUCUUCCGAUACGACCUUAUUUGGAGAUAUAAAGUAUGCAUGGAGUCUAGUAGUUCCAUGUUCAGUAUACACCAUAAUCUCUUUAUGAUUAGCAACAUGCUUACUUAACAAAAGUACGUCUGAGUUGUUACCUAAAGGAAGUAACCCAUAAUCGAUUUCAAUCUCAGGAAUCAAGAAGUGGUAGUAGAUAGGCUCACCGUUGAUAUAACCUAUCUCCUUCAUCAUAUCGUCUAACUCAUGUACGGAAAACACGUCCAUGUCUACGUAGUCAACAUAGUCAAUACUCCCACCAACGUAACGUCUUCCUGGGUAUUUUGUGAACAUACCCCCAUGGUGAAUCUUGAAUGUGCAAAAACUACUUAACUCAACUGAAAAACAAAUAAAUAAUGAUAUGAGGAAAGAAUGAAGUCUCAAAAUUGAAUGUGCAUAAAUUACUUAACAAAAUUGAAAGUUGUUAACUGAUCACUCACCAUAAGCUUUGAUCAGGUCAGGAUUUUCUGAGAAUUUUGAACGGACAUUCCACAAAGUUAGAACGAUCGCAAAAGAUGAAAAUGAAAACCCUAGUUUCCGUUUGAUGUUUUGAAGUGAUGAAGAUGAAAAACCAGAGGAGAAAAGAAAGGGAUGAUUUCUUGGGGUAAUGUAAAUGGCAGCUAGAUGUAAGGAUCAUUUAUGAAUAUGAUCAUUUCGUGUAACAAAGCAAAAGACCAAAAUACCCUCGUGUGAGGGUCACGUGAUUUAGAUAAACGGAAACAAUUAAACGGAGUAUGUCAUAAGGACUAUUCGUGCAACAAUUUGGAACCAUAGGGACCAUACUCGUCCAAAAUUCCUCAUAAGGACUAUCUUUGGUCUCUUGUGCCAACCACAGGGACCAUCUGUGUAAUUUUGUCUUUUUUUAAAGAUAGUUCAUAAUUUUUCUAUUAUAUACAUUGUAAAUGAAAUUGAGAACUUAAGUAGGUCCUAGGACCUACCUAAGCACAUGGUGGAUACGCCCCUGUUACCCACACUAACCUCAUACACUUACAACACAAAUGAACUUGAACGGUCUAAGACCAAACCAAGAUAUAAUAUGAAAUGUGUAAGUAUAGUUUAAUAGAUGAAAGUGAGGUGUUGUUUGGGCUUGAAAAGUAGGGGUGAGCAUGGUGCGAUUUUUUGAGAAAACCGAACCGCAAACCGCAAGAUGCGGUUUCUAUAGGGUAAAACCGAUAGGUGUGGUUUUUGUUUCGGCGUGGUUUUACAUGCAUUUUCGGUGUCAUUCGAUGCGGUUUCGGUUUUUAACUGAAAAUAUGUGUUGGUGUGAUUUUUCAUACAUGUGUUGAUCUACCAAAGAAGUAAUAACCCCUAAAGAAGCUAGAGCAAGGCCUAAUUGAAAAUGAAGCCAAUUAUUAAUUGUGUCAUAAAGACCCUCAUGCCCACGUCUCAAUCGCCCUCUUGGAGGGAUAUGUGCAUCUAAAAGAUCUUUCAUACUGUGCCCAAUCCCAAAAUUAGUUCUAUACAUAUGCCCAACAAUAAGAAAAAGAAAUGCAAUAGCUAAAUAAUGAUGAGUCAUAUCAGCAUGUCCAAACCCGACUUUUCAGUUAACUUUCCUUUAUUUCCGGUACAGAUUCUCAUUUAAAUGUAUUUAACAUGCUUGUGAAAUAGUUAUAUGUUAUUCUUAUCAAAAUAUAGACUUCUUUAUGAUAUUACGAUUUUGAGAUUUGAAUUAUAUGUUUGAUGCAACAAGGGAUUUGGUUUUAUAAUCUCAAAUUCCAUUACUUAAUCAUUAUUGUUUAUACAGAUAGAGGCGGCUUUUGAUUCGAAUUGCAUUUUGCUUGUGAUAAGCAAAAGGAAAAUUGUUAAUGGUACGCACUUUGAUACAAAUGUCAAAUUUUAUAAAAAUAUAGCAAAACAUAAGGCAUGCACAGUGGCAAAAAGAACUGAAGAGGUCGAAGUUGAACAAAAUAUACUUUUAUUAAUAAGUAUUAUAAUAUAUUAAAUAUUGUCAGGUUUUUAUGGUGCUGUUUGGCAUUGUCCAAACCGCACCACACCGAAAAAUUACCAAUUAAGGUUGGAUUGGAAUGCAUAAUUAUCAAUUUAUCCUUAAUAAGUCAUAAAUCAACAAAAAUGGCCCAACAAUUUUCUUAAUCUUAAUUGUUGCCUUUGGAUUAGAAAUCAUCAACGAUCAAGAUUGGUUCUCACAAUUCUCUAAUCUCUACUUUUAUGUUGUUUUCAUUUGAACUCAACCCAAAAAUCUCACCAGUAAUCACCACACGAACAAAUCCCGUUCUUGAAAUGAUGAAACCUAUUUGUAUCCCGAAGAAUAAUUUCCCGCUCAACAAUCUUGGAAAUAAGCUUAGCAGCAAUAUGACAAUCCUCACAAACACGUAGAUUUUUAGUAAUCCGUAUAGGCGUAAAAGCUUUAGUAUUUAUAAUCACAAACACAAUAGCAAGCUUCUCACUAUGAACAGCAAGAUGAUUUCCUUUAUCUUCAUCUUCUAUAUCAUGAAGUGCAGAAUCCACUUCAGGAACAUACCCAAAAUCCCUCAUCUUCCCCACAAGUACUUCCAACUCUUGAUAAAUCUGUUUAGAUUGUGGAUGGGAUUGAUCUCCAGCAAGAAACGAAUGAACUUGAUUAUUAAGCUCAACAUUACUAACACCGGGCUCUUUUUUCACUCCUUUUGAUUUCAUUAUUGAACGAAUAUUUGUCACAUCUUUAAAUCUACCUGCUUUUGCGUAUAUAUUUGAUAAUAAAACAUAAUACCCUGCUUGUUCAGGGACCAAUUCAAAGAGAUGAUCUGCUGCUACAAGACCAAUUUCCAUGUUGGAAUGAACUUUACAAGCACUUAACAAAGCACCCCAGAUUCUAUCGUUUGGUUUUGUUUUCAUUUUCUUUAUAAAAUCAUAAGCUUCAUUGAUUCUUCCUGAUCUUCCUAGCAAAUCAACCAUGCACGCCAAGUGUUCGAGUCUUGGAAUGAUGUUAUACUCUUCGGUCAUCAAUUUGAAGAAAUGUUUUCCUUGGUUUAGUAAUCCGGCAUGGCUGCAGGCUGAUAGAACUGGAACGAAGGAAAUGGAAUCAGGGGCGAUUCCGGAAUUUUGCAUAUUUGAAAAGACUGUGAUAGCAGUUUCACCAUCUCCAGUCAUGCCAUAAGCAGAGACCAUGGAAGUCCAGGAGACGACAUCUCUUGUUGGCAUUUCAUCGAACACCUUGCGUGCUUCGUUUAAAGACCCACAUUUAGCAUACAUGUCAAUCAAGGCGUUCUCUACUGUUAGAUUAGGAAGAAGCCUUUUUGUUUUUACAUAUGAAUGAAUCUUUCUUCCUAGUAAUAAAGCUGAAAGAUCUCCACAAGCGGGUAGGAUGCUAGCAACUGUGAUUGAAUCCGGGUCGAUUCCGUAAUUCUCCAUUUGUUGAUAAAGAUUAACUGCAUCUUUAGGCAUCGAGUUGUUGACGUACACAGCUAUCAUGACAUUCCAAGAAAUUAAACUCUCUCGAGCGUGAUUCAUGAACAUUUCUUUCAUAAACAUCACGUUGGUAGAUGAAGUAGAAGUUGUUAAAGCAGGGGAAAGGCUGGCCAUGGUGCCUGCGUUGGGUUUUGAGGUAGAACAUUGCAUCAUUGUCUUACAAAUCUCCAAUGCAUCUUCAAACAUCCGGUUUUGGGCGUAGGCAGCAACCAUAGCAUUCCAGGAGACGAUAUCUCUACUAGGCAUUUCAUCAAACACCUGGCGUCCUUCCAGUAACCGGUUACAUUUUCCAUACAUUGUAAUCAAUCCAUUCCCUACAUAAAGAUUUGAAUGCAGACCCUUCUUGAGAACAGCAACAUGGGUUUGUAAUCCGACCCACAAAUUCUCAGACACGGAACAUGCUUUUAGAACUUGAGGAACUGUAAAAUGAUCAGGGUUAAUGUUGAACUUGAACAUGUUUCUGUACAUACGAAGUGCUUUUUCGUAGAAUUCAUUGUUUACGUAGCUUCUAAUCAUCACAUUGAAGAAGACUACAUCUUUUUGAGGAAAUUCAUCAAACAGUUGGCGGGUAACUGCGAUUUGGCGACAUUCAGAAUAAGCUUUCAUUAAUUUCAGAGCAAUAUGCGAUGCUGAGACGAGGUUUCCAUCAAUAAUUAACCUACAAUGUAUCUUUUUCAAUUGUUUGAUAUCUGGGCACUUGUCCAAGAUUUUGAUACACAAGUCUUCUGUGAUUAACAUGAUUGUUAAGGCGAGAUUUGAAUGAAUUUGAACUUAUAUUCCUUUCGCCAUGUUGUACCUGAGGGGCAAUCAAAUAGAAUGGACGAAGAUAACGAAGGUUUACUUGGUGGUGUUCACUUAAAAACAAGAAAUAUGAAGUUCUAAACGCUAUUUCUUGUUAAACAGAAAAUAUUUUGUCCAAUCUAAAAAUCCAAUUUUUGAGUAAGUUCAAGCUUAAGCUCAAAAAUAGUAAGCAAAACAUGUUUAAAAAAUAAAAGUUCGUUUGAAACUCUUUGGAUAGCUCGAGUAUAACAAUCAUCAUAAUUAUAGUCAAUAAAUCAGGCUCAAACAACCAAACUUGAUGUCCAGCCCUUGAUCAUCCAAUUGCCAACUGAAAUCAACUUAGUUUCCGGUUUUAGAAUCGCCCUAACAUUACAUAAGCACCAACUAGUUCCAAAAGUAGUUUUUAAUUCAAUGUCUCCCAUACCCGUGACUUCAAGGGUUUCCAUGUUACCCAACCUUACCAACUUAAGAUAAGUUCUUUACUUCAAUUACUAUAACAGAUCGAUGAGUCAUGUUCUAAUGACCUCUCGUCAUAUGAUGCAAUGCUUAGACUCGAGUCUUUUAAAGUCAAAUUCUAUAAUGAAAUAUACAUUCCUUCAAGUUUCUAAUGUGAUAUAAUCACAUUCUAGCAUGUAUCACUUCUAGCUACAAGCUUCUUACUUUAACAACAAUCACAAUACUUCUAUUGAUCGCUUUGAUUAUCUUUCAGUUCAAUCUUCUGGCUUAAGUCAGAUGCUACAUCGAUCUUGGUUCUCUGAACCACGUACAAUACUUAUCCUAGCUGUAAUCGAUUUGAUAUGACCACUAGGGUCGGAAUAACAAUCAUCUUCUUAGUCAUUACCGAAAUUAUGGUAAUGACACAUGAACAAAACAGAAUCAAUUACUAGCGUCUUGGUAACUCGUGACUUUCCCUGAUCCAAGUGCGAGUCGUGUGCUUCCAGUAGUAUAUGCCUCUACUACCUUUCACACCUACUCAUACUUGUCCCAAGUAUUGUCUUUCAGUUCUCCAAGUCACCAUAAAAGAAUUUCACAUAGUCAUUUAACACAUCGAAUAACAAAACUAAGGUUUAUAUUAUUUCUUGAAACGAUUACAUAGAUAUUCAAGUUCACCUUAUACCAUGCCUUUUAUAUUAGGCUACACCACAUGAUACUAUCUAUAUGGCUACUUUAUAUCUCGAUCUUCAGAUAUAUAUAGAUCCCUACUCCUAAUCCCUUGUAUCGUCACCUGCUUCAUCCAGGUUAGACUUCGAGAAUCUUCCUUUCUUAUCGAAUCUUGAGGAUCCCUCAAGCUUCUUCUUUUCUCAUGCCUUGUCUUAUUCCAGACCCUUUUUCCUAAAUUAGGUUUCCAUAUUCUUGGUUGCUCUAACGGUUGUCUUCAAAGUAGUUGCCAUUUUUACCAUUGCGCCAAAUUAUGCUGGCAAUCCGUUAGCAAAACUAUCUAUCUUGGAGAGUUCAGUAGCACCAAGUAGGGGAAUAACUUCAUCUGCUCGGUGAAUACGGUGACAUACUCAUCAACACUCAUCUUCCUUUUCUUCAAGUUCGAAACUCGUUGUUUAGGUCUAUCAGAUCUAUCUCUGAGCAGUAUUGCAUUUUCAACUGCUCCAUGAAUGCUUCCCACCUCAGGGCUUCUCCCCCAUGGCUUUGUAUCUGCCAAUAACUUCCACCAACUUAAAACUCUGGUCUUUAGUUGUCUGACUGUAAAGACGGUUUUCUGCUUGUUGCUGCAAUUGCAACUUUCAAAUGUCAUCUCUAUCUCGGAGAUCCAAUCCAUGAUCUCUACUGGCUUCGGGCUUCCAGAAAGACUUGGUGGUUUGGCACCUAAGAAGUUCUUAUACAUACGUUCAUCCUUAUCAAUCGCUUUUUUCGGGUCGUUCCUCCUUGCCACUCGGGGUUCAGCUUGACUCACUGUACGACUGUAAUUUCCCUCCUCCGACAAUUCUUCAUUCAGUUCGGGUUGCACGAUAGGCACAAUAGGUUCAUCCCUAUUAUCAAGAAACAUUUUUCUCAUCUCCUCCCUUUGUUCGGCCAUCAUAGCCCAAAUCAUUGCUUAGACUCUUGCCAUCGUGAUUGGCUCGGGUGCAGCUACUACCUCUGGUGCACAUUUAAUCACUCGUGGUUCAGGCUGUUAGUUUUCAUUAGCAUUUUCUAAUAUGUUGCGAGUUCUCACCAUUUCGAUCUAUACACUCUAGAGAUGUUCAGUGUACAGUGACGAGAAUUAAGAUAUGGAAAGCUUUAUUUACGACAGCCAUAUAAAUCUUCUUAUCACUCGUAAAAGUUAUAUACUAGUUCUAAUACCGUAAUUAAAUGUUUGGAAAUUUUGAGCAAAUGACGGUUCAUCAACAAUAGAGCGAAUCUCAUUUAGGAAUUCGUUGAUAGGUCGAUUUCCUUUAGGAUUUUUAGCAAGUUUGGAUUUUAAAGAGAUGAUUCUUGAGCAGGAGGUGCUGGCAUAGCUUGUGUUGAGAUGCUUUCAUGCUUCUUUUGUGGUAAAUACAGAGGUAAUGAUAGGUUGAAUGAAUUGCAUCUGAGCAUGAACCAAGAAUUGCAUCGAAUACUACAUGAUCUUGGCGAUAGCAAGUCGUGUAUUCAUGAUUAGGUUUGGAUUUGUCUUUGUCGAUAAUGAAUUUUGUGGUAGGAUCAGUCACCCAUGUGAUGUAAUCUUCCAGACCUAGUCCAAUAAAUGUGGACUGCACUUGUCGCCUCCAUACAUGGAAGUUGUUGGUGAGUAAUUUGGUAGGAAAGUGACUUGAGGCGGUGAUUUGUAUUUGGGAUGAUUGUGUCAUGGUGAUGUUGAUGAAAAGGAUUAGAGGAGAAAGGCAAGAUGAUCGAUUGACUCUUUAGAGUGUGUGUGCUCUGAUACGAUAUGAGAUUUGAGAAUCAAUGGGCUCGAAUGAAUAAUUUCAUUUACAAAGAUCGAUACAUAUAUAGAUGGUAACGAGAGUUAAAGAGCUAUACAUGGAAUUUACUAAGAAUAGAUUGCAAUUACAUACAAAUAGAAGAGAUUAUUGUAGAUUAGUCAUGAAGAUGUGUACGAUGUUAUAGUUAGAUUGCUUAUUUGCAAUCCAUGUUAGCUAAGUAUGUCAUGUUGAAUACAAAUUGUAUUAAAACAUUAAAGUUCCAACCAUUAUAUGUUGAAGAAGAAGCAAAUACGCCUUAGUCACACCCAUUCUAAAUGAUAUGGAUGUUAUGGUUGUCGUUUCUAUGCAACCAAAUCGUGAUUCCAAGUUGCAGUUGUCUUACCAAUAUAUCAUGUUAGGAAAAGAUGACAUAGCAUGAAAUAUUGUAUGUUACAACAAAAAGAUAUAUCUUAUAGAUGUCUUGCACAUGGGUUAUUCCUUUUUAAGCACUUAUAUAAAAAUAAUAUCACGUAUGUAUGAUAUCUAUUUUGAGAGAUUUUUAGCAAGCAACUCUUUGUCUAUUAUUGUUAUUGGAUAGAAAAAGUAUCAUCUUCGUUGGGAAGAUUUUACUAGGAUUAGAUUCAUAAUAGUUUGUCAAAGAUUUUACUAUUAUGUAUUUAUAAACCCAUGAAGUUUUCUAUUAAAUAAAUAAAUAAAUAACCAUUCACCAUUUAUAUCUUUUUGGAAUAGAGUUUGUUAAAUUCUAAUAUAAAUAAAAAGAGUAUUUAUUUAGAUUCACACAUUACAAAAUUACAAACUCCAAGCAUAAAUCCGAAACUUAUUUUUAAACUUCUUCAUUUAUAUUACAAGUUUUAUUCUUUUUUCCCAACCCACUUGGGGUUUCGAAACCCUAAAAAAGUUCUAUCCAUGGAAGUUCAUAUUUAUUUCUUAUCUUAAUGAAUUUAAGGUCUAAAUCAAUAAAUGGCAAUGUAGAAUUAACCGCAUAUAUUAAGUUAUUUUUGGAAGCUUUCCAACACAACACAGAAAGGAAAUGAUGAGAAUUUAUGGUACCAAAUAACAAAAUAAUCCCGGUUCCUAUAAAAAUUUAUUAAAGCUCUACUCAUGAUUUCAUAAUCUCCUCUAAUAUGAGGGUUACGUUAUUGUAAUAAUAACUAUGAUAAUGUAAAAGCCAUAACAUAAAUCGUCUUAAUUUAAGAAAUAAUAUAAAUCCCAAGAUAUUGUUUUUAAAAUAAAAAGGAAAAAAGUGGGAGUCCAUUAGAAGGAGCCAAGCUGAUUAUUUGAGCCAAGAGAGCACCGAUUUGUUAUCCUUCCACUGUUCGAAGCGAGAGGUUAUCGCAGCUCUGUGAAGCCAGCCUAACGCAUUGCCCUCUGCUCUAGGAACCAAGAAGCCCAAGCCUUCGCUCAAGCCACUUGAUCCAACUCCGAACUUGGAACGGGCAAACCAGAUUUUGCAACAGCUUUGACCCAACCAAACAAGGCUCGAUCUCAGUCCAUCCCACUUUAGAGCCCUCACUUGAGUCACAAGCUCGCGUUACCAAGCUCGGCGAUAAACGAAGUCCAUUUGAUGUAUAAAUAAUCGGAAAAACUUUCUCCUCCAAGCGAUGUGGGAUGCGAAACGAAAUAUUUUCAUCUUCAUUCUCUCUUUAUCUCUGUCAAAUACUGUGAUUACUGAUUACUGACUACUUAAACACCCAUGCAACGGAUUUCAAGUAUUUUUUUCAAUCCAUGGAUUUAGAACUGUAAACU